UUACUUUACCGCAAAUUUACUUUUACUUAAAGUAAUAUAAUAUAUUAUAUUUACUGUAUGGUGUAGGUUUAUUACCCAUACAACAGUAUUUAUUUAAAAGGGUGGUGCGGGUUUAUCGUCCACGCCUUUACUUCUAUUUAAAUAUAUGGAGCAGAAUUAGUGCCCAUACAAGCACCAUUUACUUUACCGCACAUUUAAUUUUAUUUAAAGUAUGGUGCGGGAUUAACGUCCAUACAGCAAACAAUUUAAUUUAUGAAUUUAAUUUACCGCACAUUUACAUUUAUUUAAAAGGGUGGUGCGGGUUUAUCGUCCACGCCUUUACUUUUAUUUAAAUGUAUGGAGCAGAACUAGUGCCCAUACAAGCACCAUUUACUUUACCGCACAUUUAAUUUUAUUUAAAGUAUGGUGCGGGAUUAACGUCCAUACAGCAAGCAAUUUAAUUUAAGAAUUUAAUUUACCGCACAUUUACAUUUAUUUAAAAGGGUGGUGCGGGUUUAUCGUCCACGCCUUUACUUUUAUUUAAAUGUAUGGAGCAGAAUUAAUGCACAUACAAGCACCUUAACUUUAUGAAUUUAAUUUACCGCACAUUUACAUUUAUUUAAAGUGUGGUGCGGGGUUAUCGUCCAUACCAGUAAUUUAUUUACCAGUAAUUUAUUUUAUGGAUUAAAUGUGCUGUAUGAUGAGUUUUUACAGUAUGCAGAUCAGGACCAGAAGUUCCUUGAUCCUCAUCAUACAAUUACAUCAGGACUUGAAGAUCCUUGAUGAUGAUGUUAAUAUGAGAGCUGGCAGUCUCUCCGGUACUAUAUUUGUAAACAUGUAAUUGGACUUGAGGGUCCUUGAUCCCUGACAUGUAAAUAAGGACCUGGGGUUCCUUAAUGAUGUAACAGUACCGUAUUGGUUCAUAAUGCCGUACACAUGGAUGAUAACUGUACUGGCAAAUGUAUUGUACACAUGAAUAGAUACGUAUUCAUGACUUGAUGAAUAAUACCGGAUAUAUGAAUAGUGACGUAUACAUAAAUAUUAAUCAUUUUGGGUAAACCAUCACUAUUCAAAAAAAAAAAAAAAAAAAAAAGGGAACCUACAGUUCCUUAAACUCAUGGAUGAGCAAUUAAAUGAGAUGCCAGAAGUUCCUCAAAACAUGGACAAUUAUGUAAGAGCUUGAAGUCCAGAAAUAUGUACAGAAAAUUGUAAAAAUGUCCAUACCAUGAGAAUAUGUGAUUUUGGCCUGAAGUUCAAAAUCUAAGGGGAUUGAAUGUCCAUACCAUGAGAACAUGUGAUUUUGACUUGAGGUGCAAAAUCUAACAGUGUUGAGAACCUGAAGUUCCAACAAUUAAAUGGACAGCCCUUGAGGUAUUAUUGCAUAUUGUGGUACGCCACAUAUUUCUUUGGCAUAAGAGAAAGAUGAAUUGAGGCUCCCCUCACAUUUUGUUAUAUCUGGGCCGGAAGCUCAUGAACCCAAAUAUAUAAGAUAUUAGCGUGGCUUUUACUCAAUUCAUAUUUCAUGUCCAUUUGAAAAGGGUGAAUAAAUUCUGAGUUUUGUGUUUUGCACAGGCCAAAAGUUCCAUACAUUGAAAUAUGAAAUUCGGGAGAGUCGAUGUGGUUAUUUGAACCUACAAGGCACAAGGUUCCAAACCGUCAUUUUGAAAAGACGUAAAAACCACAAUUGCAAGUUUAAGAAUGUGCGCAAUUAUUAUAACAGGAACAUACAACAGAUAGAUUUUUUUCCUGCAAUAAAGGUGCAGGCCCUGUAAAAUCUAUAAAAAUACAUUAUGUUCCGGAAGCCUCUGAAGGAAGAGGACGACGUCUCUUAAGCUUAGCCAUGAGCCUCUCAUGGUCUCCCAAAAUUCUUUCAUUGGAGACCUGCAGCAUGUCUAGCCUUCUCAGUGUAUCAACAGAGUACGAACUCACCAGUUUCAACAAGGCAUUAUUCUCUCCUUUAAGUUUCUCAACCUCCUGUUGAGACUCAUGAAGCAUUCUUUGGAGAGACGAAUUUUCAGUUGUUAAAUUCUCAACUUCGUUUGCUCUGGCACGCAAACGAUCAGCCAUGUUAGAAACAGAAGCAGCACUCUGAAUGCUAAAGGCCAUUGAGUCAUCAAUAGCCUCUUCCUCUGAUCUCCCUGUCAACAACAUUUCAUCCAUUGGAGUAAUGAAAUUCCUAGCUACUAUGACAGCAGUAGCAUCAUUCAUCAUCACAGAAUCAUUAACUGUGAGAUGACGAUUUUUAGAUACAAAGGAUGGACGCCAAACUUGGGCGUCACUGGUUGUUGUGGGAGUAUCAUUUAAAUUGAUAUAAUUUGGGCAGGAAGAAGAGGAAGCCAUUUUUAAGAAGGUUUCGAAGAAAGCCUUAAGAAAACUAAAGUUUCAGGAAAUGAAGGAAGUUAAGUUGAAACGCAGUUGCUCCAAAUCAAGUUUUGCAAAGGCAAUAUCUAUAGGAGGAAAUAUGGCUACAGGUUUUUUUUUCAGGAUCCCAAUAUCUUUUCGGAUCCCCAUAUUCUCUUUUUCUUUUCCAGAUUCCAAAACUUCACAUGGCCUCCAUUAAUGUUUGUCGGCACUUUCGGUGUUUUCAAAGUAUUAUUUUCGUCAAAAGCCGAUCUUGCUUUGCGGAUUUCACGGAGCUACUUUUUCAAAAGUAUCCCGAGAAUCUCGCAAUUUUCCUAUGGUUAAUUUGAAAUUCACCGGUUCUACCUAUUCAUUGUAUUUGUGUAUAAAUGUGUUAAUAACGAAAUUUUCUUUGUAGAAGACAUCCAGUUUACUCCAUACCUAGUGAUGCGAUAUCUACUUAUUUUUCUUAUCAAUGAGUACUUAAUAUGCCCGAGAAGCAAGACUAUCUCUGAUCAUCCAUUCAGGAAGCGAGACUAUCCCUGAUCACGUUUUCGCCACAUCCGGGAACUGUGAAGGCGACCUUAUGCUCUAAUCUCCUGAGGUCCUUCUAGACUAGGAGAAAUGAGAGCUUGUUGGUUGCUCCCACCAGCUUCCUUCCCUGAUUGCUUACCUUCUCUUGCAAUCAAUAUCACAAUUUUUUGCAUUUUUUCUCUUUUUGUAACUCUCUGAGGGUUAUUUGUUUUUGACAGAGAAAAGAGUUGUAAUUUUACUCUUGCAGGAUAUAACUAGAUCAUCAAGCGCUACAUUUACUGGGUCGAUACAAGCUUGAAUGAUACUUGAGAAAAGUUUCUCCCACCUAAGGACGUAAGCAAUACUUGUGUUAUUUUAUGCUUAUAUACUUAUUUGAUAUUUUAUCUUGAAAGAUAAGUCCGUUCCAAAAGAAUGGCUUGUAUGUAUCCAUGAAUUAUUAAUGCAAAUUUUACAGAUUGUAAGUUGGAUACAUUGAUAAUACACUGCACAGAUUAAAGUCCCAUAAGAACAGAAUAUGGGUAUAGCAGUGAUCAAUAUUAUGCACGCCUGUUGCGUAGCAAAUGAUGUGGAUUGAAGUCCCAAAAGGACAAUCCUUUGACAUGUCAAUAUUGAUAUUAUGCACGCCUAAUGCGUAGUAAAUUAUAUGGGUUAAAGUGCCAUAAUAUGGGUUAAGGUCCCAGAAAUUAAUUGACAUGUAUGUAUUAAUCUGUGGCAUGCCUGCAGCAUGACAGAUAUAUGGGUUCUAAAUGUUCCAACUCCCUAAAUGGAGAUUUUUCACGCCCUAUGUAAAAUAACACUCCAUUGGAGGUUAUAAUCCACAUUCUCACAUAAUAAAAGCCCCCUGAAGUGGCUUGGGAACCCAAAAGCAAAGAAAUGCUUAUAAUUGAUGCAUGCGCAUGCAAAUGAGAAUGGUGGGAUCAUGAAUUGAUGAAUGACAAUUUUUGAUCAUGAAUUGAUGAAUGACAAUUUUUGGUUUUGGAGUAGCUACUCAAAUCAUCAAUGGGCUGUGUUGAUUGGAACCACGUUCAAUUAUUAAAUGUCGACAAUAUUAUUGGCCAAAAUGGAAUGAGGUAAUUCCAUUAUAGAUGAGAAUGAACGUGAAAGAACAAACCCACAGUACGAACCCCAAAAGAUGUUAAUACUGAAAUUUAUACUUGGGUGUUCGGAAUAAAAGGGAAUAUACCUACUUUGUAUGACACACUGUUUUUGGCAGAAACAAGGAAUGUUGGGUUUUCUCCAUAUUUACAGAUUCAAUUGUGCCCCCUCUUAUUACACAAUUACGGAGACCAACAUAUUAUCUUUAAGGGUUAUUAAAUGCACGGAGCAUAUCGCCAGAAGCGAUUUCCUAAAGAUAUAUAAAUAGCUGGGUAAAAGCUAUAUAAUGUGUCAUAAAGUUUAAUCCCUUUUAAACAAAAUCCGUUGAGAGGAUUGACAUUGCAUAAAGCAAGUCCCUAAAGGACAUGUGCUUGAAGCACAAAAUUAGUACUCAAUAUUAAUAUGCAUAAAUUACCUCAGUGAGUACAUUGAUUAUAAUGUGAUUGCAACACAUUAAAGCUUCUGCAGAGUUCAAGAAAUAUUUGUCUCGACUUAAGGAUCGAGCAUUAUGCCAACGUGAUUCUUGCUUAUACUAAGAAAGUAUUGAAGCAUUUUUAUGAGGAUUAUCCGUUGGACACUUUAAUGAUUUUCCGGAAGUAUAUUGGACCGGACAUCAUAUUUUUCAGAUAGGGCUCAACUCCAUCACCAUCAUUUUGGGAUGAUAUGAGGUAUAUUUGAUGCUAUCUUCGCAUAACACCAUGUACGGGCAUAUUCUUUCAAGUGAACUUACAAAUAGCCCAAGUUUUGUUAGAAACGUGGACUUUGAAAAUUUCUAUGAUUUACAUAGAGAUAGCUCACUGGAAAUAUAUUUACUUACUCAACUACGAGAAUUAUUAAUGGCUAUAUCAUCUACUCACUCCGAAAGAUUCUCACUCCAAAAGAUAGUCAUGAAGACAUCAGGGGGAGCAUCCAGAAGUAUGCUAUACAGAUUGCUGUACUUUUUUUCUUCCUUCCAUCAGUUUUCUACCUUAUUGGGUUUUUCUCCAAGCAAGGUUUUAAUGAGGCAACCAAUCUAGGGACAUGUGGUCUCCAAGGGGGAGUGUUGUAAAGAAGAAUAAGUAAAGAAGAAUAGGUGAAGCCCACAUAGCCAACUAACACCCACCAAACCUAAUCACACACCCACCAAAUCAAACCACUACCCAAUUGAUUGAAGAAUAUUAAUGAUGUUGUUGAUUGAAGAAUAUUAAUGAUGUUGUUGAUUGAAGAAUAUUAAUGAUGUUGUCUACCAAUUAUUUUGUGAGGUGAACAACCAAUGUCUUAGGCCUAUAAAUAGAUACCUCCAUCAAGAGAAGUUCACACAUAUAGAAGAGGAAGAGAAGGAAGAAUGAAGGUGAGUGAGUUGAGAGGAAAGAGAGCAAGAGAGAAAUUCUCCAAGAGAGAAAAUUGAGUGAGCCAUACAUAUUGUAAACACAAAGUUGUAGCCCUAUUAUUUUACAUAGUGGAAAAGUUACUGCUGCUGCUCUCCGGGGAUGUAGGCAUAGCCGAACCUCGUUAAAUACUGUGUCUCAUCUACUUUACGUGCAGCUCAAUAUUCGCAUAUAUUCCCGUUCAUUUUAUAACAAAAAAGAAGGUGUUGGUAAAAAUAAAAUAUCUCGAUUAUUUUAAAAGCAGUAGUCUUUUGACAGCAACUUUUAAAAGCAGGUUAUGAGUUGCUUUUCAAAGUUGCUUUAAAAAAACAGAGAUAAGCCUUUAAAGCAUUUUUAAAAUUCCCAAAAUAUCAUCCUUAAUUUCUUUAAAUGACAUCAUCUCCACUUCCGCAUCCAGUGACGGAGGUAUGUGAAGGCCUAAGGGUGGGGGUCGGGGGUGGAGUUUGGGGGGUGUGGAUUUUAUCAAAUAGGAAGUAGACUUUUACCCAAAUUUUUAUUCAUGUUCACCACUUUUUCACUAAAUUGACUUCUAUUGUCAAUAUUGUUGGUGCUUCAUGCAAGCGUAAUGAUGAACUAAAAAAUGCUCAAGCUACUAAAAUUGAGCAUAUGAUUGCAAUUGAUGAGCUCGAGAUUGGGAAAGGAACGAACCAAAUUGGCACCUUAUUACAACGUGCUGGUGAUAUUCGUUGGGAUUCUCAUUUGAAAUCAAUUACUAGCUUGGUACCUAAUUGACUCAAUCAUAGAUGGUUUUCGAGAUAUGAAAGAAUGACGAGUGUUAUUUUGAUACCUAAUUGAAUAAACAAUUAUUUUUUGCCUUUUAUUUUUCUAAACAUCGUUAAGGUUGAAAAAUUGAAAUUUUUUAAUCUCUUGUUUGGUUUAUAUGUUGGCCCCCCAACACAUAAAUUCUUGGCUCCGCCGUUGUCAACAUCCAACUCCACCACCACCUUUACCACCUCCACCGCCAUUGCCACUGCCACCACUUCCACCCCAUCAUCCUCCUUAUACUCCGCCACCACCACUAAAACAACCAUCACCUCCACUACAAAUACCAACACCACCAUGCUAGCGCCACUACCACCUCAUCCUCAACCUCUACCACUUCCACCAUCACCACAUCUAUCUCUACCUUCACAACUGCCAUCCCCACCACGACCUCCACUUCAUCACCACCUCACCACNNNNNNNNNNNNNNNNNNNNNNNNNNNNNNNNNNNNNNNNNNNNNNNNNNNNNNNNNNNNNNNNNNNNNNNNNNNNNNNNNNNNNNNNNNNNNNNNNNNNCGUUAUUCAUAGUUACAACAGUUUUAUAUUAAAAUUUACUAAAUGGUUUUGACACUGCUUUUUGUACUAACGUCAAUUUAAAAGAAUUGUUUACCAAACAUGGAGCUGCUUUAGUUUACAACUAAUUAUUUUCAAAGCACAACAAGAAACUUUUUUUUUUUUUUAAGUGACAACAAUCCCAAACUGGUCCUUAGUUCUUUAUAUUUUUUUUGUGACAUGAUUGGUCCUUAACGUUACUAUGUGUACAUCAAAUUGGUCCCUUCAUCAAAAAUUUCGUUAAAUUGAUGACAUGGCGCAUAUGUGGAGCCCACACAUCCAAUGAUAUAGAAUCAAGUCGUUGGUCCUCUCUUACUCUCCCUCUUCCUCUUGAGAUAAACUCUCAUACAACGGAGAUAGCACUUUUUACUAUCUUGGCCAAUAAAACAAUGACACAUUGAAUAAUUUUUCUAUAUGUCAUUGUGUUAUUGGUAGCAAAAUAGUGUUAUUUGCGUUAUAAGAAUUCUCUCUCUCUCUCUCUCUCUCUCUCUCGCUCUAUCUAUCUCUCUCUCUCUCUCUCUGGUUUCUUAACUUAUUAUUAUUAUUUUUAUAAUGAUUUUUUUGUUGUAAAUCUAUGUUUUACAGGGAUAAGUGGAUAUCCCAUCACACCUAAUAUCUAAUAAGUGACUCACCCCACCAUGUAUGACCAAUGAUGUAUAUGACCACUUAUGGUAUUAAAACAUACAAGAUGAAUGAAAAACACACAAGACUAGAUGAGUAGGAACUCAUGGUUGAGCUCUUGAGAUUGUACUUCUAUAAUUGUUUUCUCUUCUUCCCAAUUUCUCUCAAAAAAAUCCUCUUAAUUAUAUAACACGUUAUCAGCACAACUUGCUCACCAACCGAGGUUCUUGGAGAGUUUCAAUCUUGGUAUAUCUCUUCCUUAUAAUUCUUAUUGAAGAAUCUUUGAGUAAAAAUUUUCAUACCAAAAGAUGUAAGCAAUACUUUUAUUAUUUCAUGCAUGUACUCUUAGUAGUAUUUUGAUAUUUUGUAUGUCAUCUUCAGUUACGAAAAAAUGGGGAGAAAAGACCGGUCCAGAAGAACUCCAUGCAAAGGACUAUUCCAGAAGAAUAACUUGCAUUAUAGAUUGUUCCAGAAGAACGACUUGUAUUAUGACCAUUCUAGAAGAAUGGCUUGUAUCAUCUUGAUAUGUAUUCAUGACUUAUUAAUGCAAAUUUCACAAAUUGCAAGUUGAAUACAUUAAUAAUACAUUGCAUAGAUUAAAGCCUCAAAAUAGCAAAACAUGAGCAUAGCAAUGAUCAAUGAAAUUCACGCCUACUGUGUAGCAAAUGAUAUGAAUUAAGGUCCUGGAAGGACAAUCCAUUAACAUGUCAAUAUUAAUAUGGUGCACACCUAUUUCGUAGCAAAUUAUAUGGUUUAAAGUCCCAGAAUGACAAUUCAUUAACAUGUGUGUAUUAAUCUGUGGCAUGCAUGCAACAUGACAGAUAUAUGAGUUCUAAAUGUUUCAACUCCCUGAAUGGAGAUUAUCCACGCCCUAUUAUAAAAUAACACUCCAUUGGAGGUUAUGAUUUACAUUCUCACAUAAUUAAUCUUAUAAGAGAUGUCUGUCUAGAAAGAGAUAAUGAAAGCCCCUGAAAUUGCUUUAGUAUCCAAAGGCAAAGAAAUAUUUAUACUUGAUACAUGCACAUGAUCAUGAGAAUGGUGGGAUCGCGAACUAAUGAAUGACAAUUUUUUGGUUUUAGAGUAGCUACUCAAAUCAUCAAUGGGCUAUGUUGAUUGGAACCACGUUCUAUUAUUAAAUGUCAACAAUAUUAUUGGCGAAAAAUAGAAAAAGGCAAUUCCAUUUGAGAAUGAACAUGAAAGAAAAAACUCAUAAUACGAACCCCAAGAAGAUGUUAACCUUGUAGGUUAUAUAUAGGUGUUCAAGAUAAAGAGGAAUACACUCACUUUAUAUGACACAAAUGUUUCUGAUAGAAACAAGGAAUGUUAAGGUUCUCCAUAUUUAUACAUGCAAUCAUGCCUUCUUAUUGCACAUUUAUGAAGACCAACAUGUUAUCUUUAAGGGUUAUUAAAUGCAUGAAAUCAUAUCGCUAGAAGCGAUUCCCUAAAGAUGUAUAAGAGAAAUAAAUAGCUGAGUAUAGUGUGUUAUGAAGUGUAAUCCCUUAAAUAAAAUCCCUAAAUAAUUAAAAUUGUAUAAAGCAAGUCUCAAAAGGACAUGUGCUUGAAGCACAAAUUUUAUACUCAAUAUUAAUAUGUAUAAAUUAUCUAAGGGAGUACUUUGAUUGAAUUCAAAUUAAAAGAUGCUGCAACAUAUUCAACGUUUAAAGUUAUGAGAAAUAUUUAGAUUCCUAAAGAGCCUAUGGAAUAGCAUAUGCAAUUAUGCUCAAAACAUACAAGGAUGAGUAUAAAUGACUGAUUAUAUCAUAUAAAUAUUUAAUACUCUUAUCAUUAUAAAUAUGAGAUCAUUAUGAUUAUUAUUAUUAUUAUUGUUGUUGUUGUUGUUGUUGUUGUUGUUGUUGUUAUUGUUAUUGUUAUUGUUAUUAUUGUUGUUGUUAUUAUUGUUGUUGUUAUGUUAUUGUUAUUGUUAUUAUUGUUGUUGUUAUUAUUGUUGUUGUUAUGUUAUUGUUAUUGUUAUUGUUAUUGUUAUUGUUAUUAUUAUUAUUUUAUUAUUAUUUUUAUUAUUAUAUUAUUUUUAUUAUUUUAUUAUUUUAUUAUUAUUUUAUUAUUUUAUUAUUUUAUUAUUUUAUUAUUUUAUAUUAGAGAGCAUAUGAAAAUCAAGCUAUUAUAUGAAGUCAAAGGCUUACGAAAGUAGAUUAAGGACCAAAGAAGUGCUUGAUGAACCAUGUAUAAUAGAAAUGCUUGAUGAACAAUUUAUAACGUUAAGGACCAACCAUAUCACAAAAAAAUAUAUAUAUAUAAAGGACCAAAGGUGAUAAUUUUGUGAACGUAAGGCAAUCUCCAAGAGUGUGCUACACAAAGGGCUACAAAGAAAAAGGGGGGGCUACACAAAGGGCCAAUUCCUUAAAUGAGAGCCACAUGUGGCUAUUUGGCCAGCACGAGCUAAAUAAUUGGAUGGGGCUCAGCUGAUGUCAGUUAACGGCUAGGUGAUGUCAGCUAGCUUUUUCUUUUUCUUUUUUUUUUAAACAAAAAAAUUGACUAAAAAAUUCCUAAAUUUUUAAUAUAAAUAUCUACCUCAUUCUUACAUAAUUUCUCACAACAUCUUCAUCGUUUUACAUAGUAUCCUUCCUAAAUUUCAUCCUUUUACAUAAUUUCUCACAAUCUCUUCAUUCUUUUACAAAUUAUCCUUUAUCUUUUCCAUUUAAAUUAAUUUUAAAGUUAUUUAUAGAACAAGAAAAAAUCUAAUCAUAAAUCUAUAGGGCUAAUCACUUGGAUGUCAAAAUUCCUAUCCCAAAAAUAUUUUCUCAACUAAAAUGUAUUUUAAAUAUGAUAUAAAUAGUAGUUUAACUAAAUUAACUAAUAAAUUUACAACAUAUACUAAAAAAUACUAAAACAUUAAAUUUAAUCCUUUGUUGUCCGAGACGAUUAAAAUGUGGCCUGACACUAUUCCUUAUAAAUGUAGCCCAGGCUAAAUAUAGCUCUCUCCACUUGAAGAUGGUCUAAGAGACUGUUUGUGAUAAAUAAAAAAAAAGAAAAAGUUCUCAAGUAGUCUCGCAAAGACUCGUCUUGCUUCUUGCACAGGUUGAAUAGAUGGUCCGCGUGCUUUCUGACCGUCUUGUAGGAGGUGUACUCCCUUGUGAAGAUGAGGGCUAACUUCUUGAAGUUUCCUAUCACGCGGACGAUAGAGUGUGGAACCAGUCUUGAGCUGCUCCUCGUAGGGUCAUCGCGAACACUUUGCACAUUCUGACCGUCUUGUAGGAGGUGUACUCCCUUGUGAAGAUGAGGGCUAACUUCUCGAAGUUUCCUAUCACGCGGACGAUAGAGUGUGGAACCAGUCUUGAGCUACUCCUCGUAGGGUCAUCGCGAAUACUUUGCACAUCAGGGCAUCGUAUGCCUUGUACAGGAUCAUGGCGCUCUUGAAGUGGCUCAAAUGGCUCUCAGGGUCUGAGUCCCCCUUGAAUGGAGUGAUGGAUGGCAUUGUGAACCGCUUAGGUGGCGGAGCUCAUUCCACCUUAUCAGUAAAGAACGAGCAGUCGACUAGAUCAAUUUCCUUGAGCAGGGCCUCCUUCGUGCUUCCUUUAAGUUGAAGACUUUGGAGUCGGUCAUUUACCAGCUUCUCGACAUCCUCUACUCGCAUGGCUGGAGUCUCGGGCUGACGUCUUCGGUGCCUCGAGCGCGACUGGCUAACUUCUUCCUCAGUUCCCAAGGGUCGAUCCCCUUGGGUGCUCUACCCAUGGGGCAGAUUAGGAGAUUGAGCUUAUGAGGAUUGCUCUACAACUUGUCGCUGUGUGUUGGCCCUUAAGCGGGCCAGUGGGCGUCGAUCGUCAUCUUCUGCCCGUAAAGAGGGUCGCUCAAGUUGACGUCUUCGGUGCCUCAAGCGCGACUGGCUAACUUCUUCCUCGUUUCCCAAGGGUCGAUCCCCUUGGGUGCCCUGCCCGUGGGGCAGAUUAGGAGAUUGAGCUUGUGAGGAUUUCUCUACAGCUUGUCGCCGUGUGUCGGUCCUCGAGUGGGCUAGUGGGCGUCAAUCGAUGCUCUUGUUAUGUGAUUGCUCUCGAACUCGAGCUUCUUGUAGGCCCAAGCAAGCACGGACAUUGGACUAUGGGCCAGCCUUUCUAGCACGUUGGUCCUUGGUCCUAGCCUCGAACGGCUCAGAGUACGACUCGCUCUCUCCCCUGGGACCUCUCGAACUGCUCGUCGGCACGCUCGUGCACCCUCCUCUCCUCGUCACAGGGUCCAAAGUUAGGGCCUUGAUUCAAGUUGAUCUGCCUGAGUAGCUAGCCAAUCAAAUUGUUUUGAUUGUCGACCCUCUGUGUAAGUUGAUCAACCCGUGAGUUAAGGUCCACCUGACUGCGCAGGUCAAGUAGAGUGGUGUGCAUCGAGCCCAACGACAUAUGGGCUAGGGUUCCAUUAGAUGCGUACGCAGGUGCAUACGUCAAGUGUGGCUGUAGAGGAGAGAGAGAAUGGAUCUGCUCCAAGACUGGGAUGGCGUCGAAGUAGCCAUGGGGCUGUCUAGCAGUUUCGGCAGCUCAGUGGUGUGGCUGCUGCUGUGCUUUGACGGCAGGAUAGCGAGGCCGAGCAGCUCCAGUAGGAUGGUGCAGCAGAGCAGCUCCGGCUGGAUGGUGCAGCAGAGCAGCUCCGGCUGGAUGGUGCAGCAGAGCAGCUACUGCAAUCGGCGCUUGUGGCUGCAAGGCUGUGGAGCUCACGGGAUCAUGUGGCGGCUGUUCUGCAAUUUCAGCAGCUGUCUGCAGCGGCUACAAAGCACUAGGAGAUGGCUGCAAGUUGUUGGCGGCCACGAUUUCGUGAGGUUGCAUUGAGGUUUUCACCACGAAACCAUGAGACCGGCCCGUCGUGGUGGCAUUACUCUUCGUACGUCUGGUAUCAACCAUGGUGGUUUGACAAAAAAAAGUAUUGUAAAUGGAUUUGGAGUACGCUUUGAGUAUUAUUCCGCGCUCUCAAUGAAAGCACCAAUUUGUGGGAGCAAAUUUUCCCACGAGAAUAUUGGCCCAAGAUUCCUUCGUCUUCUCUGCCUGUCUUUCUCCCUGCAAAAUAGAUCGGAGUAAAAGGACCACACCCGGGGGGGUGUUGGCCAAAGGCCCUUUGAUGCCUAAGUUAGGUAGGGUGUUUCAAGGAAAACCGGGUGGCCGGAGCCGUAUGUGGUGGCCGGAGCCUUGUGUGAGAGAGAGAGAGAGAGAGAGAGAGAGAAAGAUAGGAGGUGGAUAGGGUUUUUGAGAAAUAAUUUCUGCAGAGUUUCAGUAGGAAUUUAGACGUACCUUAACCUUUGUCUGUGGCCAUCCUUUUAUAAUGGUCUCGGAGGCUAGGGUUUCAGAGGAAUAAUUCCGUAGAUGGAAAGGAAUUAUUCCUUCCCGAUUUGGAAUUGAUUUGAUUAAUUAGGGAUUUGAUUUAUUAGGGUAAAUCAAAUCCCUAAUUGGGGUAGGUAUCAAAUCAAUUCCUAAUUUAAAUGGGUAACUCCUCAUUUAAUUGGAAAUUGGGGUAGGAAUAAAAUCAAUUCUCGACCCAAUUAGCUAAUAUUCUAUUUAAUUGGGUAAUCCCCAAUUAAAUUGAAUAGUUCUCAAUUAGGUCAAAUAAUCCCCAAAUGGAAGGAAUUAUUUAACCUAGGGUUUUGAUUUAAUUAGGUUCCCACAGUCUUCUGCUUCUUUGACCUCCAGGAAAUUAAGUUAAAACCAAAAUAGACACAAAAACCACCAAUAGAAUGUCUUGUAUCAAGAUCCCUUGUAUAGUUAGCAUCAAAAUAAGCAUUUAAUUCUAGUUUGCCAGGUUGAUACCGAAGCCCAUGAUCAUAUGUGGCCUUCGAAUACUGCAAAAUGCAUUUCACUGCCUGCCAGUGCACUUUUGUAGGUGAAUGCAUGAACUGGCAGACUUGGUUCACAUUAAAAGACAAGUCCGGCCGAGUAAGAGUGAGAUAUUGUAAGGCACUCACAACUUGGCGAUAUUCAGAAGGAUCCAAAAGAGGCUCACCACAGUGAAGACUCAAUUUCUGACCAGAAAUACAUAGUGUAGAUAUAGGCUUGCAAUCUACAAAACCAGUACGAGUAAGAAGGUCAGAGGCAUAUUUCUUUGCGUCAAAUGCAACGUGGAACCUACAUAAGUGGCCGCAAUAUCCAGGAAAUAAUUUAGAGGUCCCAAAUACUUCAUAGAAAAUCAUUUUCCCAAUCUCUAAAUAAGAGCCAUAACUUGAGAAGAAUUAUUUCCAGUCACUGAAAUAUCAUCUACAUAGAUAAGUCGAAUAAGAAAGACACCAAAAUCACUAAAUCGUUUAAAUCAGGCUCGAGGUGCCUGUUUUAAACUAUAAAGUGACCUUUGCAGCUUGAAAACGUGAUUGGGAUACUGCGAAUCAACAAAACCAGCCGAUUGCUUCAUGUAUACAUCUUCACUCAAAAAAGCAUGAAGGCGGCGUUUUGAAUAUCCAAUUGAUGAACAUGCCAUUGAUUAGACACAACAAGCCCAAGAACCUUACGAAUUGUGGUGUGCUUAACUAGAGGACUGAACGUCUGAAUAAUCGAGCCCUUCCUAUCGAUGGAAACCAUUGGCCACUAAACGCUCUUUAUUACGCUCAAUGGAUCCAUCGGAGGGCCUUUUAAUAUCUUGUUGGGAAGAACAUUCAUGUGAUGUUGAAAAGGAACCAAAGUCCACGUCUCACACCUCUGCAAAGUACUAAACUCUAUGGCCAUGACAGUCCUCCAUUCUGCGUGUUUGAUAGCUUUGCUGAAACAUGAAGGCUCAACAUCUUUAGAAUCAACCUGGAGAUGCAAAGCAUACCUCAAAAAGUAUUUUAAACUCCUCGUUUGAGAUUAAGUCACCAUCUAAUGUCGAUGAUGAGCGGUGGAAUAAAAUAAGUGACAACUUCCAACAGUACAGCAGAUAGAGAAGAUUCACGCACCACAACUAAAUCUCGGACUAGAGCAAAAGAUGUUGAAGUGUCAUAACAUCUAUCUUGGCUUAAAAAAAGAUGAAGAUGGCAAUUGUGAUUGUGUAGGUUAUGUUAUUUGUGGGCUUGGGCUUGGAACAAGAUCUUAGGUGCUGCAAUGGACUAAGAGCAAACAAGACCAAGUUUAGUAAUAGGAAAAUGAAAGGAAAUACUAGCAUUUUUACCUGAGUCAAGGAGGACACCUUGCCUGAGAUAUGUGAGUUCAAAACGUGCAAAUGGGAAGGUACCAUCAUCAAACAGCACAUGACGGGACAAAAACACCUCACUUGUUGUUAAAUCUAGACAUUGAUAACCAAGAUGAUUAAGAGAAUAACCCAUGAAUACACACGAAUGAGACCAUGGUUGAAGUUUGUUUUGGUUAUACGGACGAAGAAGGGGGAAGCAAGUGCACCCAAAAACUCGAAGAAAUUCAUAACUUGGACUACAAUUGAACAAAACUUGAUAUGGACUCUUUUGUUGAAGAACUCUAGUAGGUAACUAUUUAUCAAUUACACUGUGGUUUGAAAAGCUUAUUCCUUAUAUUUUUGUGGUAUGUCAGAAUGGGUCAUAAGAGCCAAACCUAUUUCAACUAUGUGACGGUAUAUUUGUUCAGCCAAGCCAUUUUGUUCUAGAUGUUUUGGACAAGAGAACCUUUGAUGGAUACCUUGAGAUAACAAAUAUUGAGGAAAGGUCUGUUUGGUGUAUUCUCCACCUUCAUCACAUUGCAAUAUUUUUAUUUUAUGAGAUAGAAGAUUUUCAACCUGAGUUUUAAAUUGAAUGAAAAUUUGAUGGACAUCUGAUUUAUUUUUCACAGGAAAGAUCCAAGAAUAGCGUUAGAAGUAAUCAACCAACAACAAAUAAUACUGAAAACUAUUGAUUGAAUUAACUGGAGAACACCAUACAUCAGAGUGUACAAGUUGUAAAGGAAACUGUGACUUAGAUGAUGAAAAACUAAAACUAAUAGGUAAUUUAGAACUCUUAGCUAACGGACAAGAAUGACAAAAGGAAAAUUUAGAAGAACCACAAACAGGUACAAUCUUAUUCGUAGUUAAAUAUUUUAUUGUGGAAGACACAUGAUGUCCUAAGCGUGAGUACUAAGUUUGUGCAGAAACUCUAGAACCUAUAGAAGCCGCCAAUGUCUAGAUUGAUGGAGGGGGUCGAAACUGCAAUGGAUAUAGGUCAUUCUCACAUCCCCCUUGGAAAAGCAUCCUCUAGAUUUUGAGGUCCUUGAUGAGAAAAAAACAAGGUAGGAUAAAUUAGAAAAUAGCAAUGGUUAUCAACAGUGAAACAGUGAACAAAUAACAAAUUGGAUAAAGCAUCAAGACAAUGCAAGACAUCUUUAAGAGAAAAAUUUGUGGAUGUCAUGACAAUUUUAGCAUUUCCAAUAUGAGUUAUUCGUAAAUCAGAGUCAGUACCUAUAUCGCUAACCUAUUCCUUACCAACAUAUUCCUAAGCAUUAUCGAGAUUACAAUUUUUGGUGUGAUAUGGGCAUUGAGUUUGUGUCAACAAGCCAAAUAUUUGAGGUGAAUCAAUUUGCAAUGUUAGGCUGGGUGGCCAUUGCAGAGAGACGGCUUGCUGGAAUUUGGCCUUCAUAUGCAGUAUUCAUUUUAUUAAAGCAGUCCAAAGCUUGAUGGUUAGGCUUGUUGCAAAUCUGGAAAAUGGAACGACCAGGGAUUGAAGAAGAAGACUCGCAUGGAGUACUGAAAGAUCGUUGAUUGGGGAAAUUAGACCGGAAUUGACUAGGCCCACGAGUAGUAGCAUAAUUUCUGUUGCAUGUAAAAUUGCAACUAGGAGAACGCCCUCUAUUUCCAUGGCCACGUGAAGCAACAAAGGUAGUAAUCCCUGUGUUCAGAUUAGGAAUAAGCUGUGACUGCUCCCCUAUACGUCGUUCAGCACUCAGUAAAAGUGCCCCCAAAGCUUCAUACGUGAUUGGAGCAUCACAAGCUUGUGCGACACUGACUGUGACUUCAAAUGCAGCCCUGACAUUAUUCAUGAUGACGGAGACCAGAUCAUCAUAUGUGAGGGGACUUCCUACAAGAGGCAAAUUAUCAGAAAUCAAAUUCAUUUUGUCUAAAAAUUCAGAAAUGGACAUAUCUCUCUUAGUAGUACGUAGCAACUCAUUUCGCAAGUGUAAAAUCCAAUUAUGUGAGGUGGACGCAUAACGGCGCUCCAAAGAUUCCCAAGUCUUGCGAGAAGUGGGGGAAAGAGUGACAGUAGCCAAUAAUGUCAGACUCAAUGAGUUGUUAAUCCAAUUGAGAAUGGUCUGAUCUUGUUGCACCCAAUUAAGAUAAGCAGGAUUCAGUAUAGAAGUAUUUGUUGCUAGGAGAUGCUUGGGUGGACAAGGCACCGAGCCAUCAACAUAGCCAAAAAGGUCAUGGCUGCAAAGAAUUGGAGAUAUUUGAGCCAACCAAAGUGGAGAGCUUGAUGGUAACAAUAGUGGAAACUACAGGUGUAGCAGCACGGGUGGGUGUUGCAGAAUUGUUGGUUGGAGGUUGUGGUGGGUUUGCAUCAUUGGUGUUGGUAGGAUAAAGAACUGUCAUUCAAACAAGAUGAAUUCAAAUUCAAAAACUCAGUAAAUUUAUCCACAUCAGACCUUGGUCUAACAGGUCGUGAGCGGCGAUCUCGGGAUGGGAUGUGGCAGCACCGUCAUGGUGGAGAGCAUCAAAUCCGAUCAUGAGGCAGAGUGGGUGGUAGCGUACUUAUGCAGUUGUGGAGUCAUGGCAGCCAUGAGAUGGUGAAAAGGCUCUGUGAUGGGGGUCGAAUAGGUGUUCUUGGACAUGGGACCAAGUCGAAGAGCUACUGCAUGCAUCGAAUGGGUGCUCUCGGUAACCUAGAGGAGGAGCAGUAGCUACGGCUAGGGUUGUGGCGGCAGUCGCAGUGCCGAGAGUCUGAACCACGACUUCAGUUGCAGCACACGGUAACUGCCUCGGAGUCGUGUUGUCGUGGUGACACAAGUUUGUCAUGGAUUGGGUUGUUGUUGCGGCCCGACUCCUCGUUCGCGUACUUCCAACAUGGUUGUUUGGAAGGCUUCGAUUGAGAGAUGAAAAUGAGGAAAUAGGUUCUUUUCAUUCAAGAGCACGCAUUGAGUAUUUCUCGGUCUCUCAGUGAAAGCACCAAAAUGUUUGAGCAAAAUUCCGCACGGGGAAUAUUCGCUGGUUGAUUCCUCGACCUUUGAUCUUCCUUCUCUCUCUGCCUCAAUCCCUACGAAAUAAAUUGGAGUAAAUAGACCACAGCCAGUGGGUGUUGGCCAAAGGCCUUUUGAUGCCUAAGUUAGUUCAAUUAGAUCUGGACAAAGAUACAACAAUAGCUAAAAUGGAUGGAGUUUUCUAUCAAGGGGAGAGCCGGGUGGUCGGAGCUGUGUGUGGUGGUGCUUAGCAGUGUGAGAGAAAGGGUGAGGGAGGAGGCGAUGACAAAGAGGGAGAUAGGAUUUUCCAAGGGUUUUGAGUGUGAGUUUAGAAUUACCUUGAAUGUCUUGUGUAGCCAUGUAUUUAUAAGCUCCUUGUAUGCUAGGGUUUGAAGAAGAAUCCUCAUUUGGUUAGGAUUAUUCUUACCCAUAAAUAGGAGAUUGGAAUUAAUCGAGGAGAUUUGAUGGAAAUCUCAUCCUUGAUUUGGGGAGAUAUUCUCAUCUUAAAUCAAAGAUAAUUUUCUGAAUUAAAUAAGAUUUAAUUAGGGUAAUCAGUUGCUGAAAAUCAGAGAGCGCGUGACCUAAAAAGAACUGAAAAUGAAAUCUUGCGGAGAAAGAAAACAAUGUUAUUUUUUAUGUUGGUUGCCUUUCACUUUUUACAAAAAGAAAAAUAAUUUUACAAAUUAUGGAACAUUGAUUGCCAUCAUUUUGAAUUCCGUAGUUUAUAAAUUCCUAAAUACUUAUAAAUUUCUUAUUGUAAAAGAACGGAAAACCUAACUUUAGUGAAGCAAUGUUAAAAUGGGUCGUGUUAGUCUCUGAUUAAUGCAUUAGGUUGAGGCUGAACAUGUUGUGAAAGACAUGUUGUGGAGAGAAUGGAACAAAUUGCUGGAGCAAAUAAUUGCCCUGGAACUGGAAGUGCAGAAAGUCAUUCAUAAGAAAAUACAUGGACAGCAGUAGCUGUGGCAUGCAUAGAUAGGAAUUGAAGCUAUUUGGCUCAUUCAACAUUAUAGUCCCUUUAAAUAUGACUUUCUGUUCUGUUGUUCAUCCAUGUACGUUUAACUCUCUCAAUACACCUUGGCUUUUAUUUUUGUUAAACAUUUAGUUUGAUGAAAUUCAUAUAUUAUAUUACAAGUUGCAUAAUAUAUGCAUGUUUUUCUUAUAUUUACCAGAGAGAGAAGAGAGCAGUGAGACCAAAAAAAUUAAUAAAUAAAUUAUCAGUUGCCAAAACUUUUCUCAAAAUCGAAUCACUAAAUGAAUGAAGACAACUGAUAGAACAAAUUAUGCCAGAAAUACAAACACAGCACAUUUGGGAUGAACGAUGUUAAAAUCUGUUUCCCCUUAACUCUUUUCAAUAUCAGUCAACAGUAAUAUUAACAUGAAAUAUGAAUAUGCUAGCGUGACGCGCUCGGGCGUAUAACCCUAAUGCACAUUUCCAAACUUGGCAGUCCCAGCACAUGUAAACAAAAAGCAAAAGACACGUUCUUACAACACACAAAAUCAUUCAAUACGAGCAAACACAAGAUAUCUAAAAUAAAUAAAUAAUAUAUUGAUGUGCAAAGAAGCUAAUUUGAUUCAGACCCAAGAAAUGUGCUCACUGCUGCAUCACGUAUCCCCUGCAUCCUGGAAAAUAUCAGUAGGCGGCCAGCAGAGAAGCUUGGACACACCUACUAGGCUACUAAAUGUACUAAUACAAAAGCAUAAAUGUGAAAUUGUGAUAAAUUGCACUCUCAUUGCAACCACGAAAAUUUGGCUCGAUAGUUAAAAAACAAAGGGGAAACAAUAUAUAUGUAGAGCAAACAGAAUCAUGUGUCUUCCUAACCUCAGAAGGGCAAUUAUACCAUCAUCAGUAUUGAAACAGCAAUCUCCUGUAUCUAGUCUAACACAUUAAAGUUAUUCACUCUCAUUCAGAGAACAGAGAACAACCACCACACCGCCCACAUUUUACCUUCCAUAUUUCCGCUUCCUAACGUUCACUAUUCUUCGGUUAGACAUGUCACCAAUAGUGCCCAAUGAGAAGCUCCCCCCUUGACUUGCACCCAAACUGCCCGAAGCCUGAAAUGGUGAAGGGUUCUGUGGGUUGGUUGGAUUCUGUUGGAUUGAAAAUUGGAUGGGAUUCGCCGCUGCGACUGCAGGUGUAGAUCCAAAUACAGAGCCCUGUGAGGUUGAAACAGGCUGUUGACCAAACACAGGCUGCUGACCAAAUACUGGGACGGAAGGUGUAGAUGCCUGAUUAUUGUGUUCAGCAUGAUGUCUACAAAGUUCAUUUUAUCAUUAUUAUUCAAGGAACCAAAUGGAAAUGCAGAAUUUGGGUUCCCAGAUGCAGGCUGUGAUGGGGCACUACUAGCUACAGAAUUUGUUGCAGCAGCUACAACGGCAGAUACACUGCAGAUGAAAGCAUAGAUAUAUAAAUAAAUAAAGCAGUAAAUUUUUGGUGAACAUAAAAAUUAGUAACACCAAUAUUUUUUAUUGAGAUUUCCACAUGAUACCACUGAUUACAUUUUGAAACUAAAGGAGCUUGUAUUGUUAAAAUUGGUAAAAGGGAAGAACUUGCAGAGAAAUUUCUCUUGUGUUUUCAUGGAUAUUUCAGCAAGCAGAUACAAAUCUUAAAUACAAGAAAGGAAAAGCUGUACAAGUGAAGUUAACUAAACUUGUGCCUAAAGUCUGGCAACUGAUUACAAUCAGAAUAAUGGAAAGAUUGCAUAAGAGCAGAUCCUACAAUUAUGGCUUGACAUAAACGUGACUAAAGAAAUUCUGGUGGGGAACAAAAGUACACAAGCAUUAAGGCAGAAGGAAACCAUAAUUUUAAAGGUAUUCUAAGCACUUUGUUCCCUCUGUUUUAACUUACCACGGUACGAAUGUCUUCAAUUGUCUUUCAUUCUUUGCUAAUAAAUAAACGCUUUAUCUAUCAAUAUUGCAUUAUUUUCGCUAACUGCCUUCACCACUAGGAAAGAAGAUUGAAAAUAUAAAUCCAAAAACUGCUCACACCAGAACCCACGCUGAACUAUACGAAGGUUCCAACAGACGAUAGCUUAAUUUUUCAUUGCCACACUAAGUGAGCACUUGAAACUGACAUUUACAGGCAACCUGCCUUCGUGGUAUUAGGCCAUAAACUACCUUCAUGGUCUUCGGACAUGCAUAUCCUCUACCAACUGAAUGAUAUUCAUACAGUUCCGAUCAAUUUGCCCAUUCCUUUGAAGGAAAAUCCUUAAGAAGCCUAGGUUUGUUUAUACACUUCAAUCUCUUUUUAUAAAGAAAAAAUAAGCAAAAGAUAAAUGCAGCAAACAAGGGCCUUCAACAAUACUUUUCAACAAUAGGAGAAUAUUAAAAAGAAAAUACGCAAAUUAUCAUACGGACCUGCUUGAGCUUUCAGGUUUGGGGACUGAAAAGGCACCAGAUUUUACGUCAACAGAUUCACCAACUGCAGGUGACGAAGCGAAAGCAAACUGUGGCUGUGCAACUUCGUCAACACUCUUAGAGACAUAGUUAAACACAGGAGAAGCUGCACCUGAAUCCUUCAUUGCAUUUGGUUCUGGGCAUUCAGUAGUAUUAUUGACUUUGAAGCAUUUGGAGCAAAACGGGCAUUUGACUCUGGUUGUUCUUGUUUUUGUAUCAUCUCCAUCCCCAUCAUCAUCAUCAGUAGAUGAGUCAAAGCGGAUUUUCUUAAUAAACAUCUUCAGGUGAGGAGAGAGAGAGAGAGAGAGAGAGAGAGAGAGAGAGAGAGUGAGUGAAGAAAUAAGAGGAUUUUCUUUUCUGCAAAAACGCACGCGCAGAGAAUCAGAGGUAGAAAAAAAAUGGAAGAAACAAGGAGAGAGAGAGAGAGCGAGAGACAGAGAGAGAGAGCGCGAAGAAGAGGAAAGUAAUAGCAAAAAGAAAAAAGAAAAAGUUCAGGAUAGUAUGGUGGCUUUUGGAUUGCUGCGCUUAAAACAUAAUAAGUAGCUUAUAAAAGAAGUUAUGGAAACAAAAGCGUUUAAACUGGGUGUAUCUAAUUCUAACUUUUAAAGUAGGGAGGAAUUCACCAAUUUUUAAUGUGUUUAAAAGUGAGGAGGAAUUGCAAAGGAAUUACUAGUGUAGUGGUUUGGAGUAUUUAUUUCCUCAGGCAAGGUCCUGAGUUCGAGUCCUAGCAUCUAUACUGUGUGUGUGAGUGUAAUAUGCUAUCGCCCCUUUCAAUAGGAAAGGUGUUCAAAAAAAAAAAAGUGAGGAAUUCAAUUGUGACUUUUAAACAAUCUUUAAAAGUUGAGAGUUGAUUUUUUCACUUAUCUUUCGUCCACUUACAUUUUAUUUGUUGGAAAUUAUAUGUUUUCAAUGCUCUUUUGUCUACUUAUACUUCUUUAUAUGUUAUAGUAAAAAGUAUUUUUAAAAAUAAAACGGAGUGUAAGUGGACAAAAAAAGAGUGAGAAAAUCAGCAUCUUAAAAGUUUAGUAGUAUUCAAUUGUAACUUUUAAAAAAAAAAAUUUAAUUUUGUGGUAUCCAAAAAGUUAAUGAGUUUUGAAAACUUUGUUAAAUAAAUGAUUUUUUAUUAAUUCUUAAUACCAAAAAUCUUGCUAAUUUACAGAUAACUUUCUCCAAUAUAUUCCCUUCGUUAUAUCAAGCAUCAAACAGUGAGAAGUACACUCUCUUCAUGGUUAAGGCUCCAUUUCUUGGUAUCCUAUCUUCUCAUACACUUCUUUCAAGUUAAUAAAAAGUGAGGAGGAAUUCAACUGUGACUUUUAAAUAGUCUUUAAAAGUUGAGAGCUGAUUUUUUCACUUAUCUUUCGUUCACUUACAUUUUCUUUGUUGGAAAUUAUAUGUUUUCAAUGCUCUUUUGUCUACUUAUACUUCUUUAUAUGUUAUAGUAAAAAGUAUUUAAAAAAAUAAAACGGAGUGUAAGUGGACAAAAAUAGAGUGAGAAAAUCAGCAUCUUAAAAGUUUAGUAGUAUUCAAUUGUAACUUUUUUAAAAAAAAUUUAAAAUUUUGCGGUAUCCAAAAAGUUAAUGAGUUUUGAAAACUUUGUUAAAUAAAUAAUUUUUUAUUAAUUCUUAAUACCAAAAAUCUUGCUAAUUUACAGAUAACUUUAUAGUGAAUUGUCGGGAAGCUAAAGAGACUAAAAAAAAGGUUUCCAAUUCUUUCUCCAAUAUAUUCCCUUCGUUAUAUCAAGCAUCAAACAGUGAGAAGUACACUCUCUUCAUGGUUAAGGCUCCAUUUCUUGGUAUCCUAUCUUCUCAUACACUUCUUUCAAGUUAAUAAAAAAAAUCUUAAGUGCUUUUCUUUUCCUUAUGCUUGCGUCACAAAGCAUAUCAAUAUUUCUUUUCUUGUCCUCAUGCUUGCAUCCCGAAGCUCACCAUUAUUUCAUACAAAGCUAUUUUUACUUACAAUGUUUCAUUUAUAUGUUGAUUUUCUCAUCUGCUAUAUUUGCAUACAAUAUUUAUUAUAUUAAUUUUUUUCUCAUAUGCCAUUAAUUUAUUAUGUUUGCAUAAACAUUUUAUAUGUUUCUUGCUCAAAUAUUGUGAAUUUCCUAUUGAACCAAAGAAUGAAUCUUCAUCAUCUUCACCAUUACCAGGGAAUGAAGGAGAUCAUGUGGAACAAAUUUUUAAAACUCUUGUUAAUAAACAAAGACUUGGUAUAGCUUUUGAUAUGUGGAGAGAUAUCAUGCAAAAUGAUAACUAUUAUUAACGGUGAUGAAAAAUGAAAUUUCAAAAGGAAUUUUCAAUUUGCAUUAUAGUUUAUUUCACAGCCAUUAAAAUGAAUCAUGGCUAAUCUUUUUUUCUUUUUUCUUUUUUUACUGAAUCAUGGCUAAGCUGAAUGACAAUUAUUUCCUUACGAUACAUUUUCAAUUGUUCUUUAUCAUUUUUGUCAUUUUCAAAUGUGAGGAAAAAUAUUUCUUUGCAUUUACACAAUUGUAUCCUUUUUGGAUAAAAGUCUCUAAAACUCUAUGAUAAAAGUAUAUGAAAGUUUGUCACUUAACAUUAUAAAGUAUGUAAAAGUUAUUAAGAAUCUGUCAAUUCAAUGAAAGUCAUGCACUUUAAAGACAUAUACCCCCUUAGUUGUAACGGGAAUAAUACAGUUUUGGUAUCCCGGUCAAUAAUGUUAUGUUACUUGGAACUAUUAAUAUACAUGUUAUGAUAUUAUGGUAUGUGGAACUAUUAUCACGCAUGUUAUAACAUUCUUAAUCAAAAAUAGCAAAAUAGUGUUAUUCUCAUUUCAUAAAAGUUUUUCUCCACCGACAUAAAGAGAGGGAAAAGUAAAGGGAAGAGGGAAAUAAUAGGAGAGAGAAAAGUAAAAUAAUGAAAAGAAAGAGAGAGGAAGGGAGAUAAUAGCUAAUGAGAGGGAGUUCAGUCCAAAAAAAAAGGGAGGGAGCUGAUGUGGUGUCAGCAGCCCUUUUUUUCUUUUUUCUUAGGGAGGGAGGGGCUCGUUUGGUACAUCGUAUUAGACUCUGGAUAGGAGUAAAUAGUCUAUGUCAGGCGUUUGGUGUCAACUUGUAUUAUUUAAUUACCCGACUAUUUUAUACGAGUUGGGCUUUUAAUACUCUCCUUACCUGACUAACUAAUACAACCCACACACCCCGGUUUAGAUAAUACACGCUUAAUUAUACGGCUAGAGAAAAAGAACACGCGUUCUACGAAAAAAAAUCAGACGCUCUUUUCAUCUUCUUCUCCCUAGGGUUGUUCUCUAUUAUCUUCUCCACAAGUUAUUUUCUUCACUUUUCUCCAGGUAUCCAUCUCUCACUCUCUCUCUUUUUCAUACUCUCUCCAAUAUGCUUUAUAUAUUUCAAUUUUUUUGUGGAAAUUAGGUUAUGAAUUUUUUUUUUUGGCAUUUUUUUUAAUCGAAUGUUUUCUUUGUAUGUGAUAUAGUGAUUCGACGUUGUGGGAAUAUUUAGAUUGUUGGUAUUAAACAGAGUAUUGCCAAUUUUCGUCCAAAAAUAAAAAACUGUGCUAGUGUUGGUAGUUUAAUUGAAUACAUACAUACAUGACGACUAGGAGAGCAAAAUUACAAAAUCAAAAUUGUAUGAACCUGAAUUCUAGGAACCAUUUUUUUUUCUUUGUCAAUUGCUAUUAAAAAAGCAAAGAUGGACUUGUCUAUUAAUGACCAAAUUAAGGCACUACGGCUAAUUUUGGAGAAAGCAAGUGAUGAAAAAAAUUCCUGACAUUGGAUGGUGCUAUGAGAAAAGCAUUUGUUCUUCUCUUACUUGGGGCGAGGGAGUUGUGAUUCACUCUUUGAUGUAGUUUGGUUUAUGAACAACUUUCUCUUUUGCUCUUAGCACCUUAAUAUGUGAUCACUUUGAAUUAUACAUUGUUUGGUAUUGUUUUUAUUAACGUAUGCGAGUAUGUUGGAAUUUUUAUGAGAUACUACAAUUAUGAUAAUGGGUUAUAUGAAAAAAAAUCUUGGCAAAAACAAUUGAAAAAUAAAUCUUGUCAUAUGAAUCUUCCAUUAAAAUUAUCAAAGAUUUUAUUUAUUUAUUUAUUUAUAAAUAGUCUGAUCUGAUGUUAUUCGAAACAUCACCAAACACAGUAUAACUUAGUCAGAUUAUUUAUCCGGAACAGCACCAAACGCCUUAUAAUAUUAUGGAUAAAUAGUCAGUACUCUCCGAAACAGAUUAAUACUAUCCGACAAAAAUUAGUCAGUACAGUCCGACGUACCAAACGAGCCCUUAGUGUUUUGGGCUGUCCAUUUUCCUCUUAUUGGGUUUUCCCAAUCCUUUCAAUUAAGGCAAUAAUAAAUACAGGCUAACGACAUUUUAGAGUCUCAAGAUUUGGGGUCAUUCUUGAAAUGAGCCAUGGGGUUUUAAUUUUGUCAAUUUACGCACCAACGUUUUAAAAUUCAACCAAUUUAUAUGUUAUGUCAAUUUGACCGUUUGUUCUUCUGUUAUAUUAUAAAAUAAAUUGUUAGUGUAUGUAUAUAUAUAUAUAUCUAUGUAUGUUAGUAGUAUGUCCUUAAAGCCAACUUCUUCUUUUUUUUUGGUGAGAAAUUCUAUUAUUGCAUUCAUAAUUCAGCCAAAAAAGCCACUAGCCACAAAAGGCCAAUACAAACUAGCCACAAAAGGGUCAUUACAAUAACGGAGCGGUCUAAUAUCAAAAUUAAGACAAUAUGGCGUGUCUCCACUAACGAUCAGGUAGGAUCGAAAAAAACUUUGGCAUAGGCAUCCCAACUAAGAUUGCAAACUUAGAGUAAUAAAAAAGAGAUAAAGCUUGAAAAAACCAAGCCAUAACAAUACAAAUAAAACUCUCACAAAGGAGAAAUGAAAAGCUCUCACAAAGGAGAGAUGAAAAACUCUCACAAAAGGAGAGGUGAAAACUACACAGAGAACCCAAAGAGUCUUUGCAACUUAUUCCAAACAUAAAGAAAUUGCAAAAAAGAUGGUGGUAGAGAUCCGACGCCGAAAUGCAGGUGAAGAUCGGACGCUGAGCCACAGGCGCCUAUAAUAGUUGGAUGAAAAUCAUAACAAAACUAAGACAAAUAGGGAAAACCCUUUGUCUCUGAAAAUGGGGGAAAAGGUGAAAGGAGGAAGAGAAGAGGGGAGAGGAGGGAAGAACAAUGGCUUCCUCCCCCCUCAAAGUGGAAAAGGCUCUAAAAGUAUUUUUUGGGAGAAAGGGGGCUCGUGUUUUUUGGGAGAAAGGGGACUAGGGUUUAGGGUUUUUUUGGGAGUGGACUUUUACUAAAGCCAACUAAUUAAACGAUGAUUAAUGUUAAGGAUAUCUUAUGUGAUAAAUUAUUAAGUUAUUUAUGGGUAAGACCAAUUGUUUUCAACCAUGAUAUUUGGUAUAUUAUCAUAAUAGUAAAACAACUAUAGUCCUAGGAAUAUAUAAGUGGACAUGAGAACUAUUUGCAUACAUCAAGACUUAUCAUGGUCCCUAAUCCUAAAUAUGUUUCUGGUCGUUGAAGUAUCAAUUGGGUGUUGAUAUUCCGCCAAGACAAGUACACAUUGUAUCUUCUCUAUAUGUAGAGAAUGAUGAGGUCUCCAGUCAUUGAGUGUAGCGACACCUAAAUAUGUGUAUAGGUGCUUGCAUGAGAACAAGGACACUGAAUGCAAUCAAAUACAUGAGUUCUAGAAUAGAAGUCUUUACUCAUAUGUCAAACUAGAACUCAUAGAUUGCAAUGCAAUGGUGCAAACUAAUCCUUAGACCUGAGACAUCAUAGAUAUCUUGUGGCUAUGUUGUAUGUCUUUGAGGGUACUAUAUAGUUGUGUUGUGGGAGACAUGACCUAAAAGAGUCUAUCAGGACUCUUAAUAAAGUCAUGAAGACAAAUGAAUGUACAACAAGGCUACUCUCAGUAAGGAGAGAGAAUAUUCAAAGGAUAUGAUUGAUCAAAUCUCUACGCAUUGUAGUGGAUAAGAUUUGAAAGAAGAAGUUAUAAAAUCUUACAAGGAUAAUCAUAUAAAGGAAUAAUUCACAUUAGGAUAUUUGAAAUUAGAUUCCAAUAUCUAAUAAUGUGAAUAAGGAGUAUUGUAUAAACGAAAGAUUCAAUUGCAUUGUCAUUCCAAUUUGAAUAAGUUCUUCCCUACACCUUAUUUAGCUCGAAUAACUAUGACAUGUUGCUAGUCAAUCAUGGUUUGUGGAAGACCUAAAAGGAUCAAACAUAAUUGACAUUUACUAAUAGGAAGAAUUAAAUAGUGGAUUUAAUUAACAAAUCAACUCAUAGAAGUUGAGUAAACUCACUACCUUGCUAAAAGUAACCUACGAAUCGCACACCAAGAAAUGAGAUUAGAGGUACAACUGAAGAGAGACAAAAAACUAGGAGUCAAAAGUCAAAGUUCGAAGUCAAGGGUAAAAGUCAACGAUCAAGUCAAAGUCAACAUGUUUGACCAAAGCAUUUGACAAAGUCAAAUUAGUAAGACCAUAAUAGUGGUUUAAGAGUUAAAUCAUCAUUCAUAAUUAAGAGUUGAUUAUGGAAUAAUUUUGACAUAAGGAAUUGGGCCCAAGGAUAAGUGUUGUAUGACAACACAAAUAUAAGGACCCAAGUGAAGCCCACUCCCUCAAUCAUGGCUGGCUAUAGGGAGAGAAUUUAUCUCCCUUCCCUUUGCGUGCUUUUCCUAUAAAAGCCAAAAGAAGACUCAAAACCUAGUUAGGGUUUUUGGCAUUCCACUCUUGGGUUUUUGAUGUGUAGGAGAGACAUCCUCCCUCUCAUCUUUCUUAGCCAAAAAUUGGUCAAACCUAGAGAAAGACUAGCACCUAAGUUCUCUAGGUUGAUUUCUCUUCAUCUCUAGUCCUUUUUGGUGUGGUGAAGUAGAGGACUUCACUCUUGGAGUCUUGGGUUGAGGAGCUUGUGAGAAGAGGAAGAAAGGAAGAGAUUCUCCUACAAAAGUGUUGACUCUUGGCUUGUCCAACAAAUAGUCGUCAAGGGUAAACUCUCAUACGUUUCUCCCUUUUCUAUUUGUGGCCAAAAAUACUAGAUUAUAAGAUAUUUGGGUUAAAAUGAAAAAGGCUUAGCUCAACUAGAAUAAGCAAAAUUAAUCCGCCAUUAUGAAUAUUUUUGUGUUAUAUGUUGUGACUAAAUUUAUUUCCAAGACAUUAGAUGCAAAGUUUCCAAGAUAUAUAUUAUACCAAAUCAAAUCGGAUUAUUAUCGGAAUGAAGUAGGCUAAAUCCAUAUAUGUUUUGUUAAUUUAGUUGGUAAAUGGAUUCGAAACAUAAUUUGAUUAUCGAAUUAUACUUCCAGAUCCAUCUCUUAUUAAUUUCAUUGGAUUCAAAUCAAAAUCCGGUCAACUGACAACUGUAGUUAUAAGUUAUACCUAAUCUAGCAAUAUCAAGGUGUGCAUUAUUCAUAAUAGACUUAUUUUUUAGGCGGCGUUUGGUUCAUGGGAUAUGGGGCUUGGGAAUGGGAAAUCAAAUGUUUUCCUAUGUUUGGUAAGUCUAGACAUGGGAAAUAGUUGGCUGACACAUAGAAAAAAGGGGGGAAAAUGAAGCCAUUUUCCCCCCUUGGGUUUCAUUUUUCUUCCACUUGGAAACUAAGGGCAGCAUUAAACGUGCCUUUUCAAUGACUAUUUUGUCUUCAUUAACAAUUUAGAAUUACAAUAUAGCAUCAAACGUAAUUUUUUAUUUUUUUAUUUUGGCAUAAUAUGGGUAUAAUUGAAAAAUUAAAUGAACUUUGUUUUACAUUCCUACACAAACCAAACAUAGGAAAUUAGAUAAAAUGGUAUUUCCCGGUUGCUUUCCCAACAUUACCAAAUAUGAGAAAAGAAUUUUCCAUUUCUCAUCUCUUGGGAAAACACAUGGGUCCUUAAAGUUGUUUCUCUUUGCACUUAUGAUUUGACUUUUUUUUUUUUCUUGUUAUGUACACUAAAUGGAUGUAAUUAAAAAAGAAUAUUGCUGGGGACACCAAAUUUUAGUCCCAAAUGAGGUGGCAAAAACCAUCAUCAAUUUUCAAUGAUCAAGUUUCCAAUGUUUCAACAAUAAAAAUAUUUCCAAUAUUUAUUAAUUAUGUUAAAAAAAUGAAUUAAUUAUGAGUAAUUAAUUUGGUAAAACAAAUUUAACAUAAUAAUAAUAAUAAUAAUGACUUAGUGAACCAAAUGUCCCAAAAUUGAUGAAUAGCACCGUAUCCCACCACCAACAUAACCUACAUUGCAUCACCUGUUAUAAAGCCAAUUAAUAAUUUUUCAAUAUGGGCAUUUGUUUUGUUAAAGAUUUGAAAUGGUUUUUAUUUUGGACCUUAUAAUUUUGAACCUUCCAAAAAUUACUUUUAAUAUGGUCCUAACAAUGUUAUAAAACAUUCAGGGCCUAGGUCGUCGCCCUCGGGACCCAUGCCCACGGCGGCCAUGGUCAAGACCAUUUUCCUUCGUGUCCUAUCAUGAAUAUAAUACCUAUAUUGGGUGACCUUUGGACAACUGAAGAUCCAGAAGAAUGGUUAUGGGUUUUCGAAAGAUGAAGAUGCAAAGGUAAACAAAUUAUGGAACAUUGAUUUCUAUCAUUGUGAAUUCCAUCAUUUAUAAAUUCUUAGCCUUCCGUUUGGAUUUAGAACAAUAACUCAUGAUUUAGCUAUGUAAUUUAAGCAGGGAACUUAUUAAAUGACGCACCGAAAGAUUUCCAAGUUUAAUUUCUGUCAAAAGAGUGGUUAUUUCGUGAUUUCUAUUUAGAAACAAUUCAUUUUUCCUUGUAAUUUCUAUCAGUUACAAAAUUUGACAUACAUAAAUUCAAACACUAAAAUUAUUAAUUGCUAGAAAUUUAAACUAUGGAAAUCCAAAUUCCAAAAUGCAUUAGGUUGAAGCUGAACAUGUUGUUUCAGUGAGGUGGAGAGAAUGCAACACAAUGCUGGAGUAAAUAAUUGCCCUGGAACUGGAAGUGCAUAAUUCAUAAGAAAAUAACUCAUAAUUACAGCAUGAUUUAGGAAAUGAAAAUAUGUGGCUCAUUAUAGUCCCUUUAAAUAUGACUUUCUGUUUUAUCGUUCAUCCAUGUACGUUUAACUCCAUAGUCAUCUUGUACUUAAAAUUUAAAAGAACUUUUUAUUUUUUAUUUUUUUAAAAACAAAAAAAGAACUAGUCAUCUGCCCUAAUAUUGAUUACAGCAUGGCUUUUUAAUUUUUGCUAAACAUUUAGUUUGAUGAAAUUCUGGAUUCCAGGCCAAACUCAAUCUACUUAUUUCAAGUGAAAUUCUUAAAAUUUUCAGCUCUUUCUAAAUAUGCUGUCAGGUUUAUAUAAUGCCUUAGACAAAACUGUAACCGGGAAGAGAGCACUAAGACAGAAAAAUAUCAGUUACCAAAACUUUUCUCAAAAUGGAAUCACUAAAUGAAUGAAGGCCAGUAAUGGAACAAAUUAUGCCAGACACAUACAAAUACAGCACAAUUGGGAUGAACGAUGUUGAAAUCUGCUUCCCCUCUAGCAUUAACUCUUUUCAAUAUCAGUCAACACCAAUAUAAACAUGAAAUGCGAAUAUGCUAGCAUCAGGCGUAGCCCUUUUGCACACGUAAACACAAAGCAAAAGACACAUUCUUACAACACAAUCAUUCAAUGCAAGCAAAACACACGAUACCUAAAAUAAAUGCACAAUAUAUUUAUUUGGAAAGAAGCUAAUUUGAUUAAGACCCAAGUAAUGUGCUCACUGCUGCAUCAUGUAUCCCCUGCCUCCUGGGAAAAAUCAGUAGGCGGCCAGCAGAUAAGCUUGGACACAUUCACCGCUGUUUCCUUUUAUGUUACAAAAAGCAGAGUACACAGAAAACAGUUGCUAACACAAUUGCCCAGCCAGAAAGCCUAAUACCACCUACACUUACUAAUACAAAAACAUUCACCUACUACAUGUACUAAUACAAAAGCAUAAAUGUUCCGACUACAAACUGGUAUAAAAUUGUGAAAAACCUCUCAUUCCAACCACGAAAAUUUGGCUCGAUUGUAAAAAGAAAGAGGGAAACAAUAUAUAUGUAGAGCAAACAGAAUAGUCUGAUCUUCCUAACCACAGAAGGAAAAUUAUACCUUCAUCAGUAUCGGACCAGCAAUCUCUUGUAUCUAGUCUUGCAUAUUAAAGUUAUUCACCCUCAUACAGAGAACAGAGAACAACCACCACACCACCCACAUUUUACCACUGAUGCUUUUACUUCUUCCGCUGCCUGUUGUGUUUAACCUUCACAAUUCUUCGGUUAGACUUGUCACCACCAGCGCCCAAAGAGAAGCUGCCCCCUUGACUUGCACCCAAACUGCCCGAAGCCUGAAAUGGUGAAGGGUUCUGUGGGUUGGCUAGAUUCUGUUGGCUUGAAAAUUGGAAGGGAUUCGCCAAUGGGACUGCAGGUGUAGAUCCAAAUACAUAGCCAGACUCUGGGUUUGAAACAGGCUGUUGACCAAACACAGGCUGCUGACCGAAUACUGGGACUGUAGGCGUAGAUGCCUGAUUAGUGUCUUCAGCCAUGCUGUCUACAAAGUUCAUUUGAUCAUUAUUACCCGAGGAACCAAAUGGAAAAGCAGGAUUUGGGUUCCCAAAUGCAGGCUGUGAUGGGGCAGUACUAGCUGCAGAUGAAGUGAAUGGGAACAUCGAAGUUGAGGAUGCGCCAUUGGAUGAUCCAAACAUCAUAGAUGCCCCAUUGGCAUUUGUAGAAGAAACUGCAGAAGCUCCAAACGAUAUAGGUGCGCUGUUUGUAGUAGCAGCAGCAGUUGAGGAUCCUCCAAAGACAAAAGGCUUGUUACUAGGAGUAGCAGCAGUCGAGGACCCUCCAAAUAGAGUAGGUGCAGAAGUAGCCAAGGAUGCUCCAUACGACAACCCAGCUGACAAAGAUGUUGUGGAAGCAAAUGCAGGAGACUUAGAGGAUUCCCAACUGGAACCAAAUAUGCCAGGAGCAGUACUGCUACUGGAGUUGGCUUCCAAUGAGGGAGCAGAAGACCCAAGUCCAGUACUUGCACCUGAACUAAACAGAUUAGGAGCAGAGGUUGAGCCAAACUGUCCAGUACUUCCAGACAACCCGAAUGAUGGUGAAGCAGCUGAUGAUGCAAUUCCAGUCUGCUGGGAAAUAGGAACAGAUCCACUGCCAGCACCAAAACGAGUACCCUGGGACUGGUUAGCAGCAGACGUCGUAGCAGCACCACCACUAACCAAUCCAAACAUACCACUCCCUGUGCUUGGAAUGGCAGCAGAUGUGGCAGCAAAAGAGGUGCUGCUUAGAUUACCAAAGCCCUUGUCUUCCUUGUUCUUUCCUUCAAAAGAGUCUAAGGAAGAAUUUACUGGGACUGGUGUAACUGCAAUUGAAGCAGUGGAGGAUUCAAAUAAAUUAGGCGCAGCUAGCAUUGAAGGUGCUGGAUUUGAUCUAGGAACAUUGGUACUGUUGGUGGUUACUGCAGUUGAAGCUGUGGAGGAUUCAACUUUGAAAUUAGGCACAGGUGAAAAUGAAGGUGCUGGGGCUGAGCUAGAAACAUUGCAACUGUCGGUGGUGACCGCAGUUGCGCUAGCAAUGUUGUUACCACUGUUUGUGUUGGCAGUGAGGGUCAUGCUACCUGAUGAAUUUGGACUUGUCAAAAAAGCUGAAGGAACAGAGGGAGAAAAUGGAGGGGUUGACCCAUUAUUUAGGCUUGAAUUAUUGGAAGGGGUGCCAUUGGAGAAUAUGCCUGUGGUUGAUGAUGCUGAUGAUACAGAGAACAGAGCAGUUUCAGAUAUCCUAAAAGAGACUCCAGCAUUAUUCUUAUUAUCAGCUUUAUCUGAUUCAAGUGGUUUGAGUACAGAAUUUGUUGCAGCAGCUACAAUGGCAGAUACACUGCAGACGAAAACAUUCAUAAAUAAAUAAAUAAAACAGUGCUUUUUGGGUGAACAUAAAAAUUAGUAACACCACUACAGAACAAAUGAUUGAGAUUUCCACAUGAUACCACUGAUUACAUUUUGAAACGAAAGAGAAAGAUUUAAGAGCUUCUAUCAAUCACCACCCAUCAAAGGAGCAGCCCCUAAACCCCCUUUUUCAAACCCUAAAUCACCACAUAGCCACCAGUACUAGAUCUACCCUGACCAAAUGAAAUUCUGGUGGGGAACAAAAGUACACAAGCAUUAAGGCAGAAGGAAACCAUAAUUUUAAAGGUAUUCUAAGCACUUUGUUCCCUCUGUUUUAACUUACCACAGUACAAAUGUCUUCAAUUGUCUUUCAUUCUUUGCUAAUAAAUAAAUGCUUUAUCUAUCAAUAUUGCAUUAUUUUCGCUAACUGCCUUCACCACUAGGAAAGAAGAUUGAAAAUAUAAAUCCAAAAACGGAUCACACGAGAACUCACGCUGAACUAUACGAAGGUUCCAACAGACGAUAGCUUAAUUUUUCAUUGCCACACUAAGUGAGCACUUGAAACUGACAUUUACAGGCAACCCGCCUUCGUGGUAUUAGGCCAUAAACUACCUUCAUGGUCUUCGGACAUGCAUAUCCUCUACCAACUGAAUGAUAUUCAUACAGUUCCGAUCAAUUUGCCCAUUCCUUUGAAGGAAAAUCCGUAAGAAGCCUAGGUUUGUUUAUACACUUCAAUCUCUUUUUAUAAAGAAAAAAUAAGCAAAAGAUAAAUGCAGCAAACAAGGGCCUUCAACAAUACUUUUCAACAAUAGGAGAAUAUUAAAAAGAAAAUACGCAAAUUAUCAUACGGACCUGCUUGAGCUCUCAGGUUUGGGGACUGAAAAGGCACCAGAUUUUACGUCAACAGAUUCACCAACUGCAGGUGACGAAGCGAAAGCAAACUGUGGCUGUGCAACUUCGUCAACACUCUUAGAGACAUAGUUAAACACAGGAGAAGCUGCAUCUGAAUCCUUCAUUGAAGUAACUUUACCCCCAAAGUUAAACAUUGAAGGACCAGCAUUUGAUUCUUCUGGUGGAGCAACUUUAUCAUAUGUAAAGGAUGGCUGGGUAGAUACCAUCUUGCUGAAUGACGAUGCACUAGAGCCGAUAGUGUUGGAGGAUGGCUGGGUAGAUACCAUCUUGCUGAAUGACGAUGCACUAGAGCCAAUAGUGUUGGUGCCAUUCUCAGCAAGCACAGACCCAUCAGAGAAAGCUGGAGGCUUCUCCAGUGUAGCAGUUGCAGUACCAAUACUGCUCUUCUCAGUCGAGAAAGUCUCCACCAUAGAAUUGUCAUCAUCAUCCAGCUCAAGAUAAUCCUACAAACCAUACCCAUAAGGUUCAAAUAUAUCACAGGAUAAGGAAUUCAAUAACAAAGAAAUUAACAAUAUUCAUUUGCUAAACAUUGAAAGAAAUAUUAAAUCUAGUAAGAUUUUCAAAUUGGAAGUGAUGGAAUCUAAAUCAAUUCCUGCAUGAAAACAACCCCCUCAUAAACUUGAUCUAUUUGAUCAGCAAACGCUUACUAUACAAAUCAUCUAUGAAUUUGUAACAAAACCCAACAGCUAGAGAAUCUUAUAAUCUCAAAUGUAAAGCCGCCCCCCCCAUCAGUAGCUACUAUGAUUUUUUUUUUUUUUUUUUCAAAUUUGGGGAUACCUAGAAAUCCAUCAAUCUGCUUUCAGGACGCAGCUAUGAAAUUGGGCCCAGCCCUACAGUCUUUGCAAGGCAGAAAACACUAGGAAAUAGCUAGGUAGGUACCUUUUGGGGUUUACAACCUCAGACCACAUGGGCCUGACAAUUCCAACUAACCCAAGUUGGUGUAUGUGCUAUGAUCAAAUUGAAACCAAAAUUGGUUAUAUCAUGUCACUCACAUUUCAGAGCAGUAUAAAGAAGAAAGUAGAAAAUUAGGAACUUAGUUUAGUAAAAGACCCCAAGAUUAUCGGGGAACCAUGGAUGAUAAGAAAGCAAAACUAUACCUCAUGUGCACUCAUCCUGAAUGCCCGUUUCUUUUGUGGAGGAUGAACAGCGUUUGAUGCAGUAGAAACUGCAGUUUUAACAUUUGGCACAAUAUCCUUCUUUUCUGCUGUAGAAUCUUCACCAUUCAUUAGUAUAGCUGAACUGUCACAAGGAGCUCUAAUUCUCAAUGGGCCAUUUUCUUUAUCCUUGUCCUCAUUUUCAGAGGUGAAGUCUCGAGCAUCUGGUAUCAAUCGAUCAAAUGAUACAUUCAACUUAGAAUUACUCUUAUUAUUAUGGACAUUAUCCAUAAAUUUUGACGAAUCCGCAUCCUCCAGGCUUUUCAGAGCCUGACCACGUAACAUGGAUGGUGAAAGCUUAGUUGGCGAUUUAUCUCUCACAGUAUGUAGAUUGGUCUCAGAUGGUUUCUCUUUAGGGGAGACCAACUUAUCAAGCUGCUCCAGAAUUUUGGAAGCCAUCUUGCUGGAUUUUGAGGGAACAGAAGAGAAACUUGUACUAGGAACAGCAUUGUCCCCAUUUUCUGACAAUGCGUUAUGCUUAGGUUCACCCAAUGAUAGUGGCUUCCAUAUUGAAGAUGGUGGAUUUUGAGCAGCCUCAGAACUUAUUCUAGUCCCGCGAAUAGAAGAAGUAGUGCUGUAUACUGGUGAGCUCAAGCCUCUUGAAGAUAGAAGAUUAGGUUUUUGACGAAUUCUACGAAUAGGACCAACAGAUCCUAUGUCAUUAUCUAAGACUGAAAAUCUGCGUUUUAAGACCUACAAAAGAAAAAAACAAUGAAUCUGGAUGCAAUAAGUACAAAAUAAAGUAGUAAUCUUCAGACUUCAUACCCCUUGUUUAGAUCCAGAAGGUUGGCUUUGCUCCGAUACAGACUGAGAAGACGACGCCCCACCAUAAGCAUCAACUGUGGACCCAGCACCCUGAAGUACGAGCAAAAGAAAAUGUAAGAGCCUCAAUCCCAAUAAACAUUAAAAACCUGAAAGGAACUGUAGUCCUUUUCUUACACCCAGAAAUCCCCCAAACCCACUUUGCAAAUAAGACGGUGAGGCACCCCGCCGAACCCUACAAUGCAGGAAACUCUAGCAACUCGAUAAAUAGGUUGAGGAAUACAAUCCACAUGGGAGCAAACAGGCCUAACCACUCAACUAAACCCUUGUUGGUUGAAAGGAACUAUAUUCUCAUAGCAAACAAACCUUGAAUGUUGUAGUUGUGCGAACUCGAGAGUAUGGUGUUCGAGCCAUAUUGUAUAUAGCAGAUCUGCCUCGCGAUCUAGGGGUCACAAAACCAUUUUCUUGAGCCCCCCCAUUGCCAGAAGUCCAUGGCACAAGUGACAUCAUUGGUGAUUUUGACUGAAUUGGUAGACUGCUCAAAAUAGGUGAAUCUUCAUGGUGUGCUUGACCUCGUAAACCUAACAUUGAUGGGGAUACUUUUGAAGGCCUACUGCCCAUGUAUGCUUUUGCGAGCUCUGCAGGUGAAGCAACAUCUUCAUGAAGGACCUGAAGACAUUUUGAACCACUAAAUGUCAAAAAAGUGCCAAAGUUCAAUAUGUUACUAUUCCACAAUUAUUUUUAAUUAGAGAGUAGCAAGCAUGGCUUUCACAAACUCAUCAACCCAGUAUACAAAUGGAAAGCAGGUUAUCAUACACUUGUAUUGACAACAGGGUUUGAAACAAGACGGCUCUCAAUCCCAUUUUUGUCUUGCACUGGAGUUUUAAGAAAUUCCUCCUUUUUGUCAUGAGAAACCACUGGCUUUGAAGGCACCACUUCCGACCUUUUCUCUUGAUUCUCAAUUGGUAUAUCAACAGUUCUUGAAUGCAAUAACGCUGUCAAUCGAUCAAUUUCAGAUCUGCAGAUGUGAUUAACAUUCAACUCACAGUAAGCACAUGUUGCAAGAAAACAAGUUCUAAUCCCCACAAGAGGCAUGGACGAAAUUAUAACUGAUCUCUGAAAUUAUAAAUGCAUACGUCAUAACCCAUCCCAUUCAGAAAUUUCAUUCAAAAGUUCACCUCAUCGCCUCUUCUGCCACUCUCUCUCCCUCUAUCUCCCUUUCCCUCUAUCUCCCUUUCCCUCCCCGCUCCGUCACCCUCUCCAUCUAACUUACCCACACAGGAAUACUGGUGUAGAGAAAUUAACCCUUCCAAUUAAAUAGAGCAUAGAAUUACAGCACCCACCAAUAUUUAUAGUAAUUAAAAUAUACAAAAAACACACACACACAUCACCAUAUAAAUCAUUCGCUUUGCAUACCAGUGACUGAUAGACACAGUUUUCCUGAUGUACGGCUACAUUUAGAUUAUUAUAAGUACUUUCUACGAAAGAUUAACAAAAAUAUACUACCUAGUGCUAGUACAUAAUAACUUGUCCGGGCCAAACAAAAAAAGCAAAAAUAUAAAAACUUGCCUGGUAAAAGUUUUUUGCUCUAAAAUUUGUUUGAGCUCAGUGAACUCGCCUCCAUCAGCAGUAGUACUUGGACCAGCACUCUGAUCAACUGUGCCUUUUUGCACUCCUGGAGGAUACUGUACAACAGGCAUUACAUACAGAAGACAUAUCAAGAUGAUUUACAUGCAGAAUAACAUUAUCAAAACCAUAAAAAUAAAAUGAUAAACCUAAAAAUUGAAUUUCAUUGAAACUUGUUCAGCUUAAAAAUAUAUAUAAUAGCACACCACCAUAACUCAAUUAAAAUAAUUUUUAAUUGACAAAGGACUAAAGAAACAAUAAUUAAUUCUCAUUCAAUGGGUGCAUAUUGGCCCAAAAAUAUAGUUUGCCUCAUGCAGCCACUCGUGGCUUUGGGUAACAGAAAGAAACUCUCAGGAAACAGGGUACGAGACACAUGCACUAAGUUUCCUUUUUAAAAUCUCAUUGAACAGUAACCCAGAUGCUUUACGUCGGUGCAUUUCUAGACAACAGAAUAAUUAUUAGCAACAUAAAAUGUGGAUCUGUAACAUGGACUACUCUUAUACCAAAAAAUAAACAUGGAUGAAUAAUUAAACCAAAAACAAAGAAAAAAUUGAUUAGAUCAACCAACAUGAACAGGUUCAACAAGUAUUGACUCACUUCAACCGACAUGAAUUCCACAAACUGAGCAGUUUGACCGGUUAAAAUGUCCAUCCCUAUUCAGCAACGAAACCAGGAUGUUUUCUUCUUCUUUUUUCUGUCAGUUUUUUUUACUCUAUUAUGUCUUUCUGUCUUAAUUUCUUGCGAUUACAAGCAGUUUUUUCUUAUCAAUUCUAGACUUUAUUAAUGGACCAACUAGAUACCAAGAUCAUGUCUUCCAACAGAACUUUAGCCAAAUAAACCCAACUGCACUUAUAUUUCCUUAACCCCCUAAAUUAUUCUAACACUCGACCAAGAGGAAAUUAGAGCGCCAAAAUUCCUGUUCACCUAACUUUCUAAUUUAAAACUAUGAUCUUACAUCAAUCAUCAAAAUUUGUAAAUGAUGGGAAGUAAAAAAAAGGUUGCAUGCUUAUAAUACUCAAACAUAGGGCAAAACGUAGAUCCAAGUGUCAUGUACUGCCUACAACUCAUAAUUUCAGAAAAGAAUACUGUAAUGUUACCUACAAACAGAAUGUUUAACACAACAUGAGUAUAAAGCUUAAUAAUAAAAUAAAAAGGUAUGGGAUCCCAGUUACUAGAACAAAGCACGCUGAGUGCAAAGAAUAGAAAUAUACAACCCCUUUACACUUACCAUGGUAACAUCUUCUUUGCCCUUGAUCCUUACUUCAUGAUUUACCCCUGGUAAAGUAACAGAAGAUUAAAUUCAUGAAUAAUUGGCAAAGAAACCAACAAAGCAAUCACAGUCCUUUUCAGAGAACAAGACAGAAGGGAGUUCAUGAUAGCUAAUCAUUAUUCUGUUAUAAAUGAACUGACAUCUUAUAAUAGAAAGUACAAGGCAUUCAAGAUAACAUUAACAUACACGCAACAACUGCGAGCAAAAUAAUUUGAAAUUUCGCUUUCAUAUCUCAUUCAAGAAACCAAAGGAGCCAACAACCAGCUAAAAUUUAAAGUCACAACGACAGCUAAAGAAAUAUCAUCCUAUAAAGAAAGCUUCUAAAGCAAGCAAUCUUAUGUAUUCUCAGGAACUUCAAAUUUUCCCCAAAACCCAAAUCUACAAAGGAAAAAAUACGGGUGAUAUGGCAGUCACAAAUAAAACAAAAAAACUAAUCAAGGGAGAAACUUCAACAGGCUCUUUCGGAUAAAGUUCAACUGGCUCUUUCGGAUAAGACACCAAUACCAGAGACUGUAUGAAUGCAAAAGACGAUGUACUAUCAAGCAUCACUCUUAAAAGAAGCACACCUGACUCAUACCAAUUUACAUGUUAAAUAACUAAACCAGCAGUAGAAUAUAAGGGGUGCAAGGACUUUAUGCCUUCCUCCUAUUAAAAAUAAAGGAUUCAUAUGUCUUCCAAAUAUGGUAACUGUGCAUGCAUUAUUUGAAAUUCAGACCCACUCGAAUUUAGGAUUCGGUCAAUUACAAUUUCAAUCGUUUAUCGUUGAACAUUCAUGUCCUAACAAGUUUCUCCUGAAGACCCCACAAUUAUUAUAAUGAACAUAAUGAAUUCGAGAUCUGAUAUUCCACAACACAAAAACAACUUGCAUAACCCAACAUGAAGCAACCAACUACCCAAAUUCAACCCUCACACACUGGCCCCAGGAAAUUAAUUGUUAAGACAAAUUGAAACAAAAUUAGCUUUGAAAUCAGCAAAAACAUAACAAAAGGCGUCCCAAAUAAAGAAACCCCAACUCCCACAUUUGAUUGAACAAAGCGCCCAAAACUUAGGCCUCAACUUAGGUCACAACUAAGAAACCACAAAAGCCAUUAGCAUAGUAAACAAAGGUAGUCUCGAGAGCAGAAAAAGCCGAACCUGUCGAAGGCGACUGAGGCGGUGGAAGGCGUUUGCGAAAGACGGAGGAAAAGAGGCGGUGGGCGCUGUAGGAGAUGAGCCGCUGAGCCGGAUCGACGAGCUUCGAGAGCCAGCCAUCGUUGGCAGUGCUAGGGUUUCGCAGUGACGUGGGCGGCCGAUCGUAUGGCGUCGAAUGGGAGGUCCUUCGAAACGGCGUCUUCCGAAACUUGCCUCCCGCUCCCAUUCCUUCAUACGCCUGCUUCUGCUUCUCUUCCCGCGCGGCCGCCGCCAUGAGAGAGAGGAGAGAGAGAGAGAGAGAGAGAGAGAGAGAGAGAGCGCUAGGGUUUCAAAUAUUUUGGGAGUAGAGAGAGAAAGGGAUGCGACAGCAAAUUAGGGUUUUUAAUUGCACCGAGGGCGUGGAAUUGAAAGGGGUCAAUAUGAUAUUUUACCAAAAUAAAAUUAUUUGUUGUCAGGCGCGCGCGCGAGAGAGAGAGAGAGAGAGAGAGAGAGAGAGAGAGAGAGAGAGAGAGAAGAGAGAGAGAGAGAGAGAGAGAGAGAGAGAAGAGAGAGAGAGAGAGAGAGAAGAGAGAGAGAGAGAGAGAGAGAGAGGGAGGGAGACGAAAAUUGGAACGAGAGAAAAUUAUCUGACAGGUUUCCGAUGUCAUCUUUCUUUUUUAUUUUAUACCGGCGAAGGCUAAAACUAAAAAGGGAAAGGAAAUUCCCAAAACCACAAAAAUGUUGAAUUUUUGUAAUUAUUUUUCCUCAAUUUUUAAUUCCGAAAGGGAAACCAUUAAAAUGUAGGACUCUUUAUGUGAGAGAGAAAAGUUCAAAAAAAGAGUUUUUUUUUUUUUUUUUAAGAAUUUCAGAAAAGAGUUUAAGUUCUAUCACAUCAUAUGAUUGUGAAAAAUAGUUAAAAAUCUAUAUAUAUAAACGCAAAAGUAAAUUUAGGUUUUAGCUACAAAAUAAAUUUCACUUUUGGAAAAAACCAAAGUUUUUUCAAAAAAGACAGAAAAACCUCUCAACUUUCAAACUAAAGACAUGCAAAUGUAAAGGAUUCCUUAGGAAAUCCAAAAAUAAAUAAGAGCAAUUUUGUCUAUUUUGGCUUCUUUUAAAAAAUUUCUCUCUCUUUGGCCUUUUCCAAAGUCUCCCUUAAAGCAUAGAAUGGUAAACCUUCAAAAUACCAGAAAAUGUCUUUGGUUAAUGCAAACAUUAAGAAUUGAAAUUAUUAAUUAAAUGAAGAUAAUAUGGUAAAUUCACACUUUUUCAUAUUUAAAAAAUUAAAAUUAAAAGAAAAUUCAGAUAAUGAAUCCUAUUUUUAUAGAACACAACUACUCAUUAAUUUUUUUAAUUCUAAAGUAAAUUUAAAUUAUUAUUUUUUUAAAAAGCCUCUUGCAAGAGCAUAAGCGCGUGCAAAGAGGCUAGUAAAUUUCAAAUUAUGCACUCUUUGAUAAUGACAAAAAAUUUAAGGGGAAGAAAGAAUGCAGGAUAACUAUUUUGAAGUACUUAACAAUCCCCUUUUCAAAUUAUAGGUAAAGUAAAUUUCAAUGUUGGCUUUAAACUUUUACCUAUGUGGAUACGAGAGAAAACAAAGAAAGAUUGUACUGGCAUCGAAUAUCAAGAACCAAAAAAUUGACAAAACUCUCAAAUUUAAUUGAAAAUAAGCAAAAAUAUGGGAGGAAAAUCCUAGUUGACAAAGGAAUAACAAACCAAAACUAAACGAAGAAGGAAAGCACAAAAUUACUAAAACACAAAUUUUGAAAACUUAAAGAAUGUCGUUAAAUCACAGUACAAUGGUGUGAUUUUCUUCUAAACGACAUGGUUUUCACCCAAUACUAAUAUUGGAGCCUCGCAAUGUUAGAAAAUUCAAGAUCUAUUAUUAAACAAGUACCACUUUGUUAUAAAACCAAAGAAUUGAGGAGAGAAUUUAGAAGCAAGAAAAGAACCCUUGGAUUGGUUCCUCUCUUCAGUAUUAUAUCUCCCAUACAUUACAAGGAGGGGUGAACCCUUUUGUAGGCAAAGUCCCUUCCAACAUGUGGUGGGCUCCACCUUAUCACCUUAUCAUUUACAACACUCCCCCUUGGAGACCACAAAUGAUACGGAAUAUGCCUCGUUAAAAACCUUGCCAGUAAAAACUCAGUGGGACAAAAACUGGUCGAAGGGAAAAAGAGUACAUAACCAUGUGUAACAUAAAAUUCUGUGUAUAUUGACACGCGUGCGACACUGCCUCGUUAAAACCUUGCAAGGAAAAAUCCAGUGGGAUAAAAACCUGGACGAAGGAAAAAGAGUACAGUGUUUGAAGAUCUUUAUUGAUAGCACGCUCCCCCUGAUGCUUGGCAAAAUAUCUUUAAGUCAUACUGUUGAUCAUCUUUCUGAAUAUCGUAGUUGACACUGCUUCUGUGAGUCAAUCUUGAGCGACACUGCCUCGUUAAAACCUUACCAGGAAAAACUCAGUGGGAUAAAAAAAAACUGGAUGAAGGAAAAAGAGUACAGUGUGUGAAGGUCUUUAUUAAUACCACGCUCCCCCUAAGGAAUAUCUCCCCCUGAAAACUUCAUGACUAGCUUUUUCCAGUAAGCGACCAUAAAAAUUUUCAUAGUAUCAUCCCAAAGUGGUGGUGAUGGAGCUGAGCCCUAUCUGGUCCAGUAUACUUCUGGAAAAAACAUUUAAGUGUCCAACGGAUAAUCCUCAAAAAAAUGUUUCAAUACUUUCUUAGUAUAAGCAAGAAUCUCGUUGGCAUAAUGCUCGAUCUUUAAGUCGAGACAAAUAUUUCUUGAACUCUUCAAAAGCUUUAAUGUGUUGCAAACACAUUAUAAUCAAUAUACUCACUGAUGCAAUUUAUGCACAUUAGCAUUGAGUACAGAUUUUGUGCUUCAGGCACAUGUCUUUCAGGGACUUGUUUCAUGCAAUUUCGAUCCUUUCAAGGAUUUUGUUUAAAAGGGUUAAACUUUAUGACACAUUAUAUAGCUUUAACCCCGCUAUUUAUACAUAUUUAGGGAAUCGCUUCUGGCGACAUGCUCCGUGCAUUUAAUAACCCUUAAAGAUAAUAUGUUGGUCUUCGUAAUUGUGCGGUAAGGGGGGCACAAUUGAAUCUGUAAAUAUGAAAAAACCCAACAUUCCUUCUUUAUGCCAGAAACAUUGUGUCAUACAAAGUAGGUAUAUUCCCUUUUAUUCCGAACACCCAAGUAUAACUUUCAGUAUUAACAUCUUUUGGGGUUCGUACUGUGGAUUUGUUCUUUCACGUUCAUUCUCAUCUAUAAUGGAAUUACCUCAUUCCAUUUUGGCUAAUGAUAUUGUCGACAUUUAAUAAUUGAACGUGGUUCCAAUCAACACAGCUCAUUGAUGAUUUGAGUAGCUACUCCAAAACCAAAAAUUGUCAUUCAUCAAUUCAUGAUCUCAUCAUUCUCAUUUGCAUGCGUAUGCAUCAAUUAUAAGCAUUUCUUUGCUUUUGGGUACCCAAGCCACUUCAGGGGGCUUUUAUGAUGUGAGAAUGUGGAUUAUAACCUCCAAUGGAGCGUUAUUUUGCAGUAGGGCAUGGAUAAUCUCCAUUUAGGGAGUUGGAACAUUUAGAACCCAUAUAUCUGUCAUGCUGCAGGCAUGCCACAUAUUAAUACAUACAUGUCAAUUAAUUUAUGGGACUUUAACCCAUAUAAUUUGCUACGCAUUAGGUGUGCACAAUAUCAAUAUUGACAUGUUAAAGGAUUGUCCUUUUGGGACUUCAAUCCAUAUCAUUUGCUACGCAACAGACGUGCAUCAUAUUGAUCACUGCUAUACCCAUAUUCUGUUCUUAUGGGACUUUAAUCUGUGCAACGUAUUAUCAAUGUAUUUCUACUUGCAAUCAUACAAGCCAUUCUUUUGGAACGGAUUUAUCUCCCCAUUUGGUUACCUUUCAAGAUAAAAUAUCAAAUAAGUAUAUAAGCAUAAAACAACACAAGUAUUGCUUACAUCCUUAGGUGGGAGAAACUUUUCUCAAGUAUCAUUCAAGCUCGUAUCGGCCCAGUAAAUAUAAUGUAGCGCUUGAUGAUCUAGUUAUAUCCUGCAAGAGCAAAAUUACAACUCUUUUGCCUAUGUCAAAACAAAUAACCCUCAGAGUUAGGAUCACUUCAUGGAUUCUUUCUUCAGAUGUUCAUUCUAAAGAAAUAAAAUCUCUUAUGAACAGAGAGUUACAAAAAGAGAAAAAAUGCAAAAAAAAUGUGAUAUUGAUUGCAAGAUAAGGCAAGCAAUCAAGGAAGGAAGCUGGUGGGAGCGUCUAAUAAGCUCUCAUUUCUCCUAGUCUAGAAGGACCUCAGGAGAUUAGAGCAUAAGGUCGCCUUCACAGUUCCCUGAUGUGGCGGAAACGUGAUCAGGGAUAGUCUCGCUUCCUGAAUGGAUGAUCAGAGAUAGUCUUGCUUCUCGGGCAUAUUGAGUGCUCACUGAUAAGAAAAAUAAGUAGAUAUUGCAUCACUAGGUAUGGAGAAAACUGGAUGUCUUCUGCAAAGAAAAUUUCGUUAGUAACACAUUUAUACACAAAUAAGAGAAAUAGGUAGAACCGGUGAAUUUCAAAUUAACCAUAAGAAAAUUGCGAGAUUCUCGGGGCACUUUUGAAAAAGUAGCUCCGUGAAAUCUGCAAAGCAAGAUCGGCUUUGACGAAAAUAAUACUUGAAAACGCCGAAAGUGCCGACAAACAUUAAUGGAGGCAGCGUGAAGUUUUGGAAUCUAGAAAAGAAAAAGAGAAUAUGGGGAUCUGAGAUAAUAUUGGGGUCCUGGAAACUGUAGCCAUAUUUCCUCCUAUAGAUAUUGCCUUUGCAAAACUUGAUUCGAGCAACUGCGUUUCAACUCAACUUCCUUCAUUUUAUGAAACUUUAGUUUUUCUAAGACUUUCUUCGAAACCUUCUUAAAAUGGCUUCCUCUUCUUCCAGCCCAAAUUAUUUCAAUUUAAAUGAUGCUCCCACAACAACCAGUGACGCCAAUGGCUUCUAGCAUUCAGAGUGCUGCUUCUGUUUCUAACAUGGCUGAUCGUUUGCGUGCUAGAGCAAACGAGGUUCAGAAGCUAACAACUGAAAAUUCGUCUCUUCAAAGGAUGCUUCAUGAGUCUCAACAGGAGGUUGAGAAACUUAAAGGAGAGAAUAAUGCCUUGUUGAAACUGGUGAGUUCGUACUCUGUUGAUACACUGAGAAGGCUAUACAUGCUGCAGGUCUCCAAUGAAAGAAUUUUGGGAGACCACGAGAGGCUUAUGGCUAAGCUUACGAGGUGUUGUCCUCUUCCAUCAGAGGCUUCCAGAACAUGAUGUAAUUUUAUAGAUUUUACAAGGCCUGCACAUUCAUUGCAGGUGGAAAAAAUCUAUCUGUUGUAUGCUCCUUUCCUGUUAUAAUAAUUGCACACAUUCUUAAAUUUGCACCUGUGGUUUUUAUGUCUUUUCAAAAUGACGGUUUGGAACCUUAUGCCUUAUAGGUUCAAAUAACCACAUCGACUCUCCCAAAUUUCAUAUUUCAACGUAUGGGAGCCCGGAACUUUUGGCCUGGGCUAAACAUUUAUUCGCCCUUUUCAAAUGGACAUGAAAUAUGAAUUGAGUAAAAGCCACGAUAAUAUCACAAUGUAGUAGUGAAGAGCAUUAACUACUAUAUACCCACAACCUCAAAUUCGGGAUUUCUCAUAUAUUUGAAUCCAUGUGCUUCCGGCCCAGAUAUAACAAAAUAUGUUGGGAGCCUCAAUUCAUCAUUUGAGGUUUAUAUUGAUAUUAUCUAUUUCACGGUGUAUUCUUAACAACCAGAAUUCACAAAAUAUAUUUCUUCCUUGAGGUGUCGAUUAUAACAUAAUCGGACUUUAUUAAAUUCAUCAUUUUCUUAGACCAAAGAAAUAUGUGGUGUACCACAAUUUGCAAUAAUACCUCAAGGGUUGUCCAUUUAACUGUUGGAACUUUAGGUUCUUAACACUGUUAGAUUUUGAACUUCAGGCCAAAAUCACAUAUUCUCAUAGUAUGGACAUUUUUACAAUUUUCUGUACAUAUUUCUGGACUUCAAGCCCUUACAUAAUUGUCCAUAUUUUGAGGAACUUCUAGCAUCUCAUUUAAUUGCUCAUCCAUGAGUUUAAGGAACUGCAGGUUCCUUUUUGAAUAGUGAUGGUUUUCCCAAAAUGAUUAAUAUUUAUGUAUACGUCACUAUUCAUAUAUCCGGUACUAUUCAUCAAGUCAUGAAUACGUAUCUAUUCAUGUGUACAGUACAUUUUCCAGUACAGUUAUUAUCCAUGUGUACGGCACUAUGAACCAAUACGGUACUGUUACAUCAUUAAGGAACCCCAGGUCCUUAUUUACAUGUCAGGGAUCAAGGACCCUCAAGUCCAAUCACAUGUUUACAAAUAUAGUACCGGAGAGACUGCCAGCUCUCAUAUUAAUAUCAUCAAGGAUCUUUAAGUCCUGAUGUAAUUGUAUGAUGAGGAUCAAGGAACUUCUGGUCCUGAUCUGCAUACUGUAAAAACUCAUCAUACAGCACAAUUAAUCCAUAAAAUAAAUUGCUGGUAAAUAAAUUACUGGUAUGGACGAUAAACCCGCACCAUACUUUAAAUAAAUGUAAAUGUGCGGUAAAAUAAAUUCAUAAAUUAAAUUGCUUGCUGUAUGGACGUUAAUCCCGCACCAUACCUUAAAUAAAAUUAAAUGUGCGGUAAAUUAAAUUCAUAAAGUAUGAGGGUUAAUUCCACAUCAUACUUUAAAUAAAAGUAAAUUUGCGAUAAAGUAAACGUGCUUGUAUGGGCACUAAUUUUGCCCCAUACAUUUAAAUAAAAGUAAAGGCGUUAACGAUAAACCCGCACCACCCUUUUAAAUAGAUACUGUUGUAUGGGUAAUAAACCUACACCAUACAGUAAAUAAAAUAAAUGUGGGAAUAAAAACCACCACUGAAUAAGAUAAGAAAAGUAUUAGUAUUACUAACGGCCUUCCACUAAUAAUAUGUUUAAUAUUACCAAGAAUCCAUUUUUGUUAGUGGUUAGUAAUAGAAUAGCAAAUAAAUAUAGUAUAUUAUAUAUAUAUAUAUAUUGUCAACUUGAAUUGCCUCCCCAUUUUUUUUCGGUGGAAUUCCCUUCAAAACUAGAGGAAAUAGGAAAUAAUAUAAUAUUAUUAUAUUAAUAUAUGUAACUAGAAAAGUAGAUAUAUUUAUAAUAUUAAAAUAAUCAAUAUAAUUACUUGCUUUUUAUGAUCAAUAUAAUGAUAUAAUAUUAAAAUAAUAGAGAAGAUAAGGGAGCAAAGAUCUUAUCGCUUAUUCUUUCGGUGGGUUUUGUUGUUCUCAUCAAAAGAUGCUUGAGCACUUUCCUUGGGUCAGUGGCUAAGAAAAAUUUGUGGACGAGAAGAAGGGUGCUGUGCCAAUAAUCUCAGCACCCAAAGCUGUGCCCUUGCAUCUUCUCUUUGUUCCUAAAGAAUGUCGCUGAUUCAGUUUGGUUUACUUGGUCAUCCUUAUUCUCCUUGUUGUCUGAUGAGAUUCUCCUCCUACUUCUCCUCCUGCUCCUCUUCUUGGAAUCGACGCUCAUCAGCGUUUGAGCUUCGUUCUCGCUGGCAUACUCUUUGACCAACAUGGGAUUGUCAUGCUUAUAAUUGAACAUUCCCGCUGGAGCACUAGCCUGAGUCCUUGGUCUUGGGGGUGUCGCUAGAAGCGAGUAACAGCAGCCGGGUUCCUUGUCAGAGUCGGAGGACAGCCCAGCUUCUAGUAGUACUUGUUUGGUUCGUUUAUCAUUGGAUGACAAUGUUUCCUCCUCGUCUACAUCCCCGUCAAAGCUUUCCAUGGACAAGAGUGACAUGUACAUACUCAUACCACUAUGUUCUUGGGCAUCAUGAUCUUGAUCUUGAUGUAGGCCUUGGUAGAAGUAGUUACCAUCAUCAUCAUCAUCAAUUUCAUCCUGAUCAGAAGCACCACAGGUGGAACUCCUACUAGUACACAUAGACAGCCUGGACAAGUUGUGUAGAAGAUAAUCUACUUCCUUGGCUAAUGACUCGGCAGAUAGGGGAGGAAGGUAAGAGAGAGUCUCGAACUUCUUCAAUCCAAUUGGAGGUCACACUCGCAUGCACUGAACUCUUCCACCAUUGCUGGAGAUAGAGGUAAUAUCAUUGUUGGCCUUGCCGAGCUGAGCAACGCAAGCUUGUAACCCAAGUGAGGGCAUCGAAGUGUUGGAAUGCUGGCUCAGCUAUAGCGGGUCGGGUCAUGCAUGGGCAAUGUUCUGGCCCGCCUGUUCCAAGCAAGGAGUUGAGCCAUGUGGCUUGGGCGAAGGCUCUGGGCUUCAUGGUUCCUGUUGUGAAAUUAUUGCAAGCGCACAAUCCAUACAAGUAAUAUAGAAAUAAGUAGAGUGUCGUUCCCACGAAGACUGUAAUUUCCUAUUAACUACCAAUUAUGAUUAAUGCAUAAGUUUAUUUGAACAGUUGAUUAAGAAGAUUGAUUAAUUUUAAGAAAACUAAAACAAUUAUGAAAAAUAACAAUUUAAUUAACAAUAGAAAAUUAAGAUGAUGAGACACUAGAGCAUCCGACUUCACCAUAACCAAUUCUACUUAAUUCUUAUAGCCAAUUAACCCUAAUUACUAUCCAUGUUGACAGUUGGUUUCUCCUAAUUCAUUCGAUAUCCCCUCUCAGGCUCAACCAAAAGUAUUCUCAAUUAACAACCCAUUCUCUCUCGAGCAACGGAUUUAGAAAACCAAGAACCCAUUAAGUUCUAUGAGAACCUACAAGAAAACUGCAUGAGUCAUGUUAGUCCCUCUCGGGCACUCAUUCAAGUCAUGGUAUUUGUUACAAGAAGCAAACACCAAACAUCUCCUCUCGGUCUCCGCUUGGAUCAUCAAUUAAAUAUUAGCUAGAUAUUUAAAUCAUUAAGAACAGUAACAAAUACUCAACAUGAGAUAAUAAUCAGAAAUUAAUAUAACGAUAGAAAUUAAGUAUUCAAGGUUAGGCUACAUCGUAGCCCUAGCAAGGGAAAUUAGUUCAUGACAGAAGAAAAUAUAAACAAGAGAAUUAUUCUCAUAAAACCAAUUUGGCCGAUGGACUUGAUCUUCAGAAUCUUCACAGGAACACCUUCAAAAGCUCCUCAAAUAAUGCAGCAGCAAAUUCUUGGCUUCCUCUGAUAUUUCUCUGGUUGAAUGAAAGUUGGUGGAAAAAUAUGGUAGAGAAGACGAUGGUGGAAAAAGAUGAUGGGUAAUUGAUCUUUUCAACAAUGACCUAAACUCCCUAUUUAUAAAACUCCUAGAAAUCCUACCUAAGGAAUAAUUACAAUUGUUAUAAAAAUAGGAUUCCUUCUAAAAUAAGGUCUUCUUUAUUUCUCCUUAUUUGACUUGAUAAGACUUGCACCAUCUUGAACUAGGAAAUUUGACAACAUUCCUUGCAACAAAAGGAAUGACUUGGCUUCUUUUUAAUUGAUCUUCAUCUUCUUGCCUUUUUUAGCACACUUUCUCCUAUUUCACAAUUCCUUCACAAAUCUCACAAAACCAAUUAAAAACAACCAAUUUAAUCUGAGAAAUUAAUAAAUAAAUAAGCAAAGGAGGCAUAAAAUAUAUAUAAAAUAUAGACUUAUCAGUUCCUAUAGUGGAGGGCACUGCGUCAGGCUGGUUUCACAGAGCAAUGAUUACAACACAAGCUUGUAACCGGAGUGGGGGCUUUGAGGUGUUGGAACAUUGGCCAAGAAUUAGCGGGUCUGGUGAACUACAGCUGCUGAUGAAACCAUGAAGGAAGCCAUUUUCCUCUGUUUCUUGUUUGAUAUAUGAGAGCUGAAGAGAUGAAGCUGGGCUUUGUGGUGUGGUUUGAAAGAGAAACUCAUUAUUGCAGAGUCUUGCUUUCUUAUCAGCAGGCCAAAGAUUCGGUUCCAGGAACCAGAAUUGAGAGGAGGUGCAUAGAGUUGUGAGGAGAGAAAGAGAGAGAGCGUUGAGGCUCUAAAUUUAGAGAUAGAGAAAUCGUGCUGAUAACGUGUUAUAAAACCAAAGAAUUGAGGAGAGAAUUUAGAAGUAAGAAAAGAACCCUUGGAUUGGUUCCUCUCUUCAGUAUUAUAUCUCCCAUACAUUACAAGGAGGGGUGAACCCUUUUGUAGGCAAAGUCCCUUCCAACAUGUGGUGGGCUCCACCUUAUCAUCUUAUCAUUUACAACACACUUCUAUUAACUUUUUUAUUGUCUCUUAAUUGACAGACUUAUUAUAAUUGUCCUGGAAGGACCAAACUGGAACACUUUGGUAUGCAAGGGCCAAAGUCCCACAAGAGCCAAAAUUCCAGAGGCAAAAUGAAAAUUGAAUUUUAUAGUUAUGUCACAAACUUGUAUAAUUUUUAUAUAUGUAGAAAAAGCAGUAAUAAUUUAUUGAUAAAACAUAAGAAAGUACAUAACAGUCAUAGUGUCAAAUAUGAGUACAACAUCUUCAGUAACCAAACACAAAAAUAAUUUGGGUUGAUCUAAAGAGAAUUAUGCAUAAAUAAAUAAAAUAUUUAAAAUUCCUAUUCGGCAUACCAAAGUACAUGUACUCAAACUUACAAUACAUAUUUACCGCACAAUUUAUAUAGUUAGGUGUAAACUGUCAAAAAAAAGUUCAAGUAGCCAAGCAUCAGGUGAAAAGUUUAGGCUAUAUUGCUAAAAUUUUGCCUCUGUUUUCUUUUUUGAAUCAAAUAAAAACUUCAUUAGAUAAACUUUGAUGGUACAAUAUAAAUCGUUAAUUAUGCCUUUGUUUAAAUUGUUAAAACAUAUGUUCUCAAUGUAAAUAGUUAAUUAUGUUCUUUUUAAAUGAUUUGUUAUUGACACUUCAAAAAAGUAUCAUACAUGUAUUCAAUUUAGAUUUUUAAAGAGUUUAUAAAAGUCUAAUAGUAUUCAAUUAUGACUUUUAAAAAAUAUUUAAAAUAUAUUCUAACAAAAAUAUACGUGAAUUCUUGAAAGUUUUGCAAAGAAUUUUGAGUAUCGAAAAUAUAAGUGUGGUCACUAUUGUGUAUUAAGUAUUGGGGAUUUAAUUAAGAAUUGUAUUUUGACUAUUUUUCAAUCCAAUCCCACUUAAUAUAAUGAGCAUUUUUGAGAGUGGAAGUGGAUGGCCCCAAAAUUGGGAUAUGCUCAUGCUGAUGGAUGCUUGAUUUGAUCCCUUAGGGUAUGUUUGGUAGGACUCACUAACCUGGAUUGGACAAAAUAGCACUUAAAACCCAUGUUUGGUAAGAGGGAUGACUAACUUAAAUGAGACUAUACAGUCCAACAGUGAAAAAAAUGGCUCACUAGCUCCUCUAAUAUAAUGAGCCUAAAAUGUGGUUCACAAAAUAGUACUGUCGCUAAACUGAACAGGCGAGUCCAACACACUGGCUUGGCUUCUCUUCCCUGAAGCCAUUCAUCACUUUCUCUUCCGCAACUUCCCUACCUCAACAAAAUUGAAGCUCCAAGAAGUAUAUUUUCUUGAUUGAAAAAACUGAAGUUCCAAGAUCUGAUUGGACCCAACAAUAAAAGACAAAAAAGUAUUUUUAGAAUUUCUUCUGAUCCAACUCUGGAAACCCAUCUCCUCCGACCCAUCGUCGUCCACUGCACUGCCCCCAACCCCAGCAACAUCUAUUGGUUUAUUAAAAUAAAAACCUGAUAUGGAUUUGGUUGAAGAAAGAGAGUGGAAAGAGAGAAAAAUAAGGAGAGAGAAGGAGGAGGGGAGGGGGGCUUGGUUGUCGAAUAAAGAGGAGAGAGGGGAGGGGAGUUGUCGCGUGGGGUGUGGGGGGAGGAAGAGAGGACGGAAGGGGUGGGUGGGGUUUGGGAUAUUUGUUUUGGUUUAAAAAUAUUAUCUUUAAGAAUAUUAAAAAUCAGCUUCUUUAAAAAAAUAUAAGAAUUUUUAUUUAUUUAUUAUUAUUUUAAAUCUUUAAAUUGGAUUUCUUUGUAACAUUUAUAUAUUUUAAGUCAAAAUUCCUAAUUAAAUUUAAAUAUUAUAAUUUAAUUCCUUGCAUUAGCGCCCACAAAAGCACAAAGUUGAGCAAAAGUCUAUCACGCUCUCGCCACCCAACCAUCAAAAAAUUCAUUAUUCUUGCAUGUAGAAAAAAAAAGUUAAAAUUAAAAUUAAAAACUCAGUCGCACCACCAUCUUCGACACCCACCCAGCCUCCACCACUCCCAUCACCCACCUAAGCCUCAACCACACCAUCAACUCCGUCACAUCAAGUUCUCUUUCUCAGAUGAGACGGUAACACAUACCUCAUCACACCCAACUUGUCGAAGGUGAAGAGGCGGAUGAGUCUGUGUUGAAAGAGAGGUGUGUCGUAGCUGGUUUGGAAGGUCUUCAUCUUGGGCUUGGAUCAGUGUUAGUUUCAUUGGGCAAGCCACUCCCCUUGUACGACUCCGAUGAGCUCUUCUUCUUCUCUUCACCACGAGACCAAGUUUACCCAGUUGAAUUUAACUUGAAACCCAGAUCUGGGUUCUUUCUUUGGUAAAAAGGUUUUUUCUUUUUUUCUCAAAACACUCAACCCAGAUCUGGGUUGACUUCAUACUAGCAAAACUCACGGGAUUUUUUCUAAGUAAAUGGUCAAAUUCCAUUUCACAUUAAUCAGUGCCUUUCGAAUUUGGGUCUUGAUCUUGAAGAUUAAGUUGCAUAGUCUGAACUUAAAAACAGAGAUAAUGGGGUUCUUUUGCACUUGGACUUGGGUCUUGAAUAUUUCUAGGUCGAAUGGGAAUUGAUUGCUACACUAAAGAAAGCAAAUAAGAAUCCAUAAUCAAUUUGUUCUUGUUACAUGAAGGAGAGCUGCAGUGGUGAGGGUUUAGUUGGAAAGUAGGGGCUGAGGGUGGGUUGUGUUGGGUUCAAUUGGAAUUGAUGUUGCUUUUGUUUCACUUUGAAUUUGGGUGGAUUGAGAAGUCUUUUGGAGAGUGAUUUGUGGGCUGCUGUGGUGGCGGUGGUGGAGAUCCAUGGUAGAGACGUCGAAGGUGCAUAAGGUUGGUGCGUGUUGAUUGGGGAAGAUGGUGGAGGUGGGGUGGGAGAGAGAAAAAGGGUUGGGGUUGGGGGCGUUUUUGUUUUUUAAAUUAUUUUAAGGGUGUAUUCAAUUAGAAUUUUAAUAAAUUAUUUUGAAGUUUAAAAAUACAGUGGUAUUUAAUUAAAAUUUUUAAGUAAUGAAUUAAAAUUCAGUGGUAUUCAAUUAGGAUUCUUAAGUAAUGAAUUAAAGUCGGGUGUUAUUCAAUAGUUACUGAUUUUGAGGUAUUUCAUUAAAUGUUGUAUUGUGUGAGAUUUUGAGUGGGUGAUAUAAACACCAAAUAACAUAAAUAAAAAAUUCACCCUCCUAGGCAUGAUUCUCACGUUCUUUGAUUUUCUUUUGAGAGAAGAUCAACAGCGCAUUUGCCACUCACACGAAAGCAAUCAACCACAGCCAGCCACACUUUAGUGUUACAUCCUACCAAAACAAGAUUAUUUGCUAAUUUCGAUAUCAAUCAAUCUAAUUUUUUUUAAUAUAAAAAAGCAUGUGAAGUAUGGUAUGAACUUUAACGAUAUUUUUUAUGUUGAAUUAAUCUAUGUUAUUAUAUGACUUUUAUUUCAUAUGGAAUCUUAUAGCAAAUUUUUUUAUUCUUUGGAGAAUACAAAAAAAUUCUAAAUUAAGUAAAAUCAUGUAACUACAAUCUAUUAAAUAAAUAACUAAAAUCCUGUAUUACACAAAUCCUGCUGAAAUCCAUUACAUUAAAAUCCUAUAAUUAAAAUAUAUUAAAAUCGUAAUUGAACACACCCUUAAUCUAUUAAAAGAAUCUUUAAAAUUUUAAUUUGUUUAAUAUAAUUUAAAUUAUAGUUUUUAUUAUUUAAAAAACAAAAGAAUUGUUUAUUAUAUAUUUUGCCCACAUGGAGUCCACGUCAUCAAAAAUUAAGGCUAACAUUUGCCAUAUCAACAUUUAACAAAUUUAUUAACGGUUUGUGUAACGGUGGGGGCAAUUUAUAGGUUUUCCAUGACUUAGAUUAUGUAUUUAUAAAUGUCCCCAAAGAUGAGUACGAACUUGAAAAUGACUCUAUAGUUUGGGGGGUCUUUUGUAGUUUGUCAUUUUAUUUUUUACUGUAUUUACAAAGGCCUUGAUUAUUAUUUGGAAUGUGGUAGCCAUAAAAAACUGAAUGGUGAUCUGCCAUUUUGAAUUUAGUUUUGAUGGAUAAAAUACUUUUUUGAGUUCUUUAAUGGAGGUGAAUUGCAGGCCGUUGAUUUUUUUCUAUAAAGCAAGCAUCAUCAAUAGAGGUGCCUCUGAACAUCGCUGAUGCUCGAGUCCACCGUGGACUUCAUCGGACACUUGAAUACACUCCAGGAGGUAAUUGUGGAUCAUCAGCUUGGCAAUGUUGCGGAGGUCGAUGAUGGCGUUGGAGGUCGCCAAGUAUUUGACCAAUCACCGCACUGAAGAAGCUUUGCCGGCGGAGGCGUAGGAGGCCUUGGGAGUGUUCAUGACGGAGUCAUCUUUAGUAGAUAGUCCUCGAACGCAUAGCUCGUAUAAGUUGUGCAGGAGAUAGUGGACGAGCUCAGAUCAAUCGAAGGGAGCGAUUAGUUGAGCUUAAGGGGUUAUGUAAUUGAAUAUUUUAAAAUUUUAAUUUCGUUUAUUCAUGUAAGUUCCCCAGUUUUGUUUUGAUAUUUAAGAGGCUCAAUCAAAUCUGCUCAAGGUUGCAAGGUUUGGGGUAACUAGCAGGAAACAAAACAAAGGCAACUGUACCUAAAAAUAGAAGAGUAAAGGUAGAAAUUAAAAAUUAAGCGUGAUUGGUCAUUUUUUUUCAUUAUUAAUUUACUUUGUUCUCGUUUUGUGCUUUUAAAUGUGGAUUGGGCUUAUUUCGAGUUUUUGGGUUGUUUUAGGUUUUUGAGACAUCUUGUUUUAAGAAAACAAGUGGCAAUUUUGUAAUAUAUAGAAAGUUCAAAGUCGGUUGUUUUUUUGUAAAUGGACUUCUAGUGUGUUUGUAAGUCCAUUUCAUAAAAGGUUUUGUUAAAAUCCCCGCAUAAUAGUGAAGCUCACCUAUACAAAAUUAAUGAAUGAAAUCAAUAAUAACGGAUAGAGAACAUCGUUGGAUCAAUUUAAAUCCAGCCAUUGAUGUUAAUAGAAUUUUUGUGAUUCAUGUACAUGGUUUGAUGGUACCUUCUUUUUACAACAAGUGCCCCUUUGGUAUUUAUCCUUUUUAUUAUUGCUCAUUAUUCAUAUCCAAUAAUAUUAUGAUCUCACCACCUCCAAAUAUUAAAUAAAUAAAUAAAAAUGCAAGUUUAGGAUAAAUACGUAAAUCCACUUGCCAAAUGUCACAGCUUAAAACCAUGUAGUAGGGCGGAGCAGCCUCACCCACUAAGAAAAGAAUGCAAGGAACAUACAAAUCAUCAAUUAAUCGGUCUGGUCAUGCAUCUAAAAGUAUCUAAUGCCUAGAUAUAGAUUAAUGUGAUGCAUCAGAGUUUGAACACGAGUUCACAUCACCAGAUUAGGAGUGCAACGGCUACUGGAGUUUGAACCUUAGUUCACAUCACCAUUUUGUGAUGGAUCACUAUAAUGUCGAGUACGACUAUUGGAUGAAGACCUUGAUAUAGAUUAAUGCUAAAAUAUGAAACUUAUGAGAGAAUAUUGUUUGUGGGAAUUUUCUGUGUAUUCUUCUCAUUGUAAGAGGUUGUAUUUAUAAUACAAUAAACCCUUGUAGGUUAAGGAAGGUAAUUACUCAUAAUCUAUUUACAGUAGGAAAUCAUGUAUUAAAAUAAAUCAAUCACAUUUAAUAUAGGAAUCCUUUGCCUGACAGGAAAGUAAUUGCAGGCCCACAAGUCACAUGAACACUCUUCCUCAAGUUGGUGCAUAGAUCUCGCCAAUGCCCAACUAGUUUAGUGAGUUGUGGAACACUCUACUGGAAAUUGCAUUUGUCAAAAUAUUCGCCAACUAGUUUAAGAAAGGAAACUGAAUCACUUUAGCUUCGAGCUUCUAUUUGAUAUAGUGUCGAUCCACCUCAACAUGUUUGGUGUGAUCAUGUUAAACUGGAUUCUGUGCAAUAGCUAUUGUAACCUUGUUGUCACAAAAGAGAUUCAUAACAGAUGUAGGUCUAUACCCAAGUUCAGCAAGCAAACUAUGUAACCAAAGGAGUUCUCAAAUUCCUUGAGUCAUACCUCUGAACUCAGUUUCUGCACUAGAUAGAGCUACUACCUUCUGUUUCUUGCUCUUCAUGUUAUUAAAUUACCUCCAACGAAUGUAAAGUAACCAGAUGUGGAUCUUCUAUCUGUUAUACUUCAUGCCCAAUUUCCAUCUGUGUAACCAUCAACAUUGAUAUGACCAUGUUUUGAGAACAUAAGUCCUUUUCUAGGCGUAUACUUCAAAUAUCUAAGUAUGCGAAGAAUUGAAUUCAUGUGGUCUUCACUUGGAGAAUGCAUAAAUUGACUGACUACGCUCACUGCAUAGGUUAUGUCUAGUCGAGUAUGUGACAAAUGGAUCAGUCUUCCCACUAAACUUUGGUAUAUUUUCUUGUUAAUUGGAACUUGAUCCGGGUAUUCUCCAAGAUGAUGAUUCUGAACAAUAGGAGUGUCUAUAUGUUUGCAAUUUAGCAUUCCCAUGUCUGUCAACAAGUUCAAGACAUAUUUCCUCAAAGAGAUAUAUGCCUUGCUUUGAUUUGGCCACCUCAAUCCCCAAGAAAUACUUGAGCCAACCUAAAGGUCCACCUAGAUUCUUUAUCGCAAUUCAAUAGCUAAAUAGUUUGCAACCGAGAUAUUUCCUGUUCAUCAUUCCCAAUAAUAAUCAUAUCAUCAACAUAGAUUAUUAAAGUUGAUACCUUCCCUUUAUGAUAUUUCAAGAACAUAGUAUGAUUUGAAUUGCUUUGCCUGAACCCAUAAUUUUCCUCAUUGCCAAAGUGAAUUGUUCGAACCAUGCACAUGAUGGCUGUUUCAAACCAUAUAGUGGUUUUCGCAACUUGCACACCAUACUUGUCUAAGUAGAUGUUGUACAUCCCGAUGGAAUAGAUAUACUUCUUCUGUGAGUUCACCACGCAAGAAAAUAUUUUUCACAUCAACCUGAUGGAGUGGCCAAUCCAGGUUUGCAGCAAGAGAUAGUUGCACUCUAACUGUGUUGACCUUUGCUACGGGGCAAAUGUUUCUUCAUAAUCGAUGUAGUAGAUCUGUGUGUACCCUUUUGCCACAAGUCUAGCCUUAUAUCGUUCAACUAAAUCAUUGGCAUUGUGUUUGAUAGUAGCACUAUGACCGUUUUAAGCUUUGCUACUAGGGAAAAUGUUUCUUCAUAAUCGAUGUCGUAGGUCUGUGUGUACCCUUUUGUCACACGUUUGGUCUUGUAUUGUUCAAUGGAACCAUCGGCAUUGUGUUUGACAAUAAACACCUAUCUGCAUCCAACAAUUCUUUUUCCUUUGAGAAAUGUCUCGAAUGUCCACGUCUGAUUUUUCUCCACAACCUUCAUUUCUUCCUUUAUUGCUUGAGUCCACUUUAGAUCUUUCAAUGCUUCAGUCACCUAGUGCGAAUAUCAAUAGCAAACAACUGAUGCACAAAUGCCUUUAGUGGUUCAGACAAUCCUUGAGUGCACACAUGGUUGGCAAUUGAAUAUUUCGACUAUUUGCCAAUAUCAAGGCAAUAUCUAUCUGGCGAUUUGCCACGAUUCUACAUGAAAGGUAAUUAGCAUCCAACAGAAUCAUCAACUAAAUUCACAGGAGUUGUAGGGCUAUUUACCAUAGGAAUAUUAUCAGGAGAUUGGUAGUUUGGUACUAUAGAAUGUGAAAGAGGUAUUCAUUUUCUUUCUAGGUAGAACCAUAAGUAGUCAAAUCAGGAGAAUUUUCAAACACAGGCGACCGGUCGCAUUCUUCAGGGCAACCGGUUGUUUUAGUCUGAGUCGAGUUUUGCUAUUUGAGGUGACUGGUCGUCAAGUUCAGAGAGACUGGUCGUUUUGUCUAGAAAGCUCAUUGUUCAAAGCAACCGGUCGUUAUUGUCAAAAUGGCCGGUCGUUUCCAUGCUUACUUCAAUUUUUCCAUCUUUCGGAGUGCUCCAAGUUUGUGCUUCACUCUGUGUCUCCUCCUAAAGUGGAUAAUUAGACACUGAGUCAUGAAAGAAUGUCUUAGACUCCAAAAAAGUGACAUAUGUGCUUCGGGAAGGAGGAUGAUAACACCUAUAACGUUUUUGAUGAAUGGCAUACCCUAGAAAAACACAACGAAAUGCACAAGGGUCAAGUUUGCUUCUCUUGUUUUUAUGGAGAUGAACAUACGCCAUGCAACCAAAGACUCGUGGUCUGAGCAUUAAGACAGAGGGCAGGGGCCCUUGUUAAGCAAGCACUUGGACCGAAGUAUGGAAGUCCAAGACAUGAGAAGGCAUACGAUUUAGCAAAUAAACAACCGUGACAAUGGCAUCACCCUAGUGGUGGCGAGGGACAUGAGCCCCAAUGAAGAGUGCACGGGCUGUUUCAAGGAGAUGAUGAUUUUUCUGUUAUGCAACCUCAUUCUAUUGCGGGGUUUGAGGACAAGUCGUUUCAUAGAGAAUGUCAUGCGUAAGAAAGUACAUCUGAAAGUCAUGGUUGACAUAUUUUCCUCCCUUGUUAGACAGAGGAUCUAGAUUUAGGCAGAGAAUUAGGUUUCAAUUUGUUUGUGGAAGGAUUUGAACAUAGUAAACUCUUCACUUUUAGUCUUCAUCAUGCCAUGUCAUACGAGUGCAAUCAUCCACAAACGUGACAAACCAUCUAAAUCUAGAAGUACUUAUAGGUGAAGGACCACAUAAAUUAGAAUGAAUUAAAGCAGAACAGUUUUUUAUUCACGCUCAAAGGAUAAGAAACAAGUAUAGUAAGCUAAGGGAGAGUCAUAGUACAAAAAGUGUAGUCAGCUACAAUAAGACUCUCGCUUAGUAAAGGUGCUUCCAAGAGUUCACAACAUCAUGACAUAUAAUCAUUAGUAAAUCCAUAAAUUUUCAGGGAAUGGACAAUAUUUUAAAGGUUAAAGACUACAAACAAAUAACCUUAGGUCUAUAACUAAUUGAUACAACAAUUAUCAAAAUUCAUAUUAAAUCAUCAAUUAAUCUAAUUAAAAUGCAAAUCAAAUUAUCAAUUAAACAAACAAAUCAUAACGGAUCAUACCUCGAUUUGUGCGCUACGCAACCUCUUCCUUCUCGAGUUCCUUAUUGAUCAUACUAAUAUAGUGAAACCAAAUAAUGAAAAUUAAUAAUAAAAGACACUUUGUUAAAAAAACACAAAGAAAAAAAAAACAUAAGUAAAAAAUACAUUCGAAAAUUGAAGUUUGCAGCAUCAAGAGCCUCCUCUUUUUCAAGGCCAUGCCCAUGCCAGGCUUCUUCAAGGCUUCUCUUUUAUGGAAAUGGAAAUCAAAUUAAUCUUCUUCAUGAGUUAUAACUAGAAUGCAUCACUUAAUUUCAACUUGGGCAUGACAUCUUUCAAGACUCCUUUACGUAUAAGGUAAGGUUGUUUCAAUUUUUUCUUUGUUUUGUUUUGUUUUGUUUUUUUUUUUUUGGGCUAGUCCAAAACUACAAUGUUUUGGCCAGGAUUUAAAAAAAAGAAAAAAAAAAGAAAAAAAGAAAAAGGGAUGCGUGCAGCAACGCAACAAAGAAGAAAAAGAAACAAAGGUCGCUCGCUCAGUCAUUUGUUCAAACAGGUUGUGGGCACCACCAAGGCAGAGCAAAGUGGCAAUAUCUAGCUUUUUUGGGCGAGAAAAGGUAUAGCUACAACUCUUUGCACCUCUGUGAGUUCGGCACUGCAUGUAAUCAGGCUCGGCCUAGACCAGGGGUAGUUAGUGCGACUGCCUUGGGCCUAUUAUUCAGAGGGGCCCAAAUUUUUUUUUUUAAGUGUUAUAUUAUAUUAUUAUAAACGAAUGUAAUAUUUUCAGGGGAAAAGAAAGAUGGAUGCUAGUGCUAGGUUAAUGUUAAUAUUAUUGGGAAAAACAAAGAUGACUAAUUAAUAUUAGGCUUAAUUGCUACAAUGCACCCUGAAACAUUGGUCAAUUCUCACUUUACCCCUUUAAAGUUAAAGUGACCCACUUUGCCUCCUUGACCAAGGUUUGAUAUUCCACAUUGCCCCUACCAUUAACUCCAUUCAAAAGUCAGUUAAGUUUGAUAACGUGGCAAGGGUGUUUUAGUAAUUUUGCGCACCUAGGUUUUUUAAUUACUUAAAAAAAUAAAAUACAAACAUAAAAUUGAAAAUAAAAUAGAUUUUAGAAAGAAAGAAAGAAAAAAAAAAAACCUACCCAUCCCUUCUCCCCCAGUCGCACCAAAUCUACCCCUUCCUUUUCUAUCCUUGUAACCCCCCUCACUUACCAGAAACCCAUCGCUCCCCUCUCCCCCCCGCCCCCAAUUGGCAACCCACAACCCACCCCUCCCCUUGUGCAGAACUUGGAAAGCCAUCCCUCCCCCCUACCCCUCCCUAAGCAGAACCCAGAAACCUAUCGCCCCCUCCCCCGACAACCCACCCCUGAGCAGAACCCAAAAACUCACCGCCACUGAUUUAUUACACCUCCCUCGAUUUUUUCUCUGCUCCCUCUGGUUUUUUCUAUUCCACUUCCACAUAACCCCAGUCCCCAUACCCAUUCCUCUAUUGUCUCUGUUGGAAAAAGCACUAGUUUCCACAGCAGCUUCAGCUCCAUCAAGCUGUGAUCUUGCUUUUAUUUAAGCAAUUAUAGACGAAUACUCUUUGUAGCAACCGGCUCUGAAUGAGAAAGUGCUUUACACAAAAUGGAUGUCAUUGACAAGUGCUUUUCCAGACCACCCUGCACACAGAGAGAGAGAGAGAGAGAGAGAGAGAGAGAGAGAGAGAGAGAGAGAGAGAGAGAGAGAGAGAGAGAGAGAGAGAGAGAGAAUUCAAUUUUUUAAAGUUUUAAAUUUUAUGUUUGUAUUUUAAUUCUUUAAAGUAAUUAAUUUUUUUUAUCCACGCUGGAGGUGGGCUCCACUGUGCCACAUUACCUACUCAAUUUUGUGAAUAAAAAAACCUAGGUGCACAAAAUUACUAAAACACCCCUGCCACGUCAUCAAACUUAAUGGACUUUUGGAUGGAAUUGACGGUAGAGGGUACUGUGGAACAUCCAACCUUGGUCAAAUGGGCAAAGUGGGUCACUUUAACUUUAAGAGCAACUCCACCCCUUAGGGCAAAGUCUAAGGCAAGGGCAAGCUAGGGCAAGCAAGGGUUGACACUAUUCACGUGAAUAGUGUCAGCCUUGCCAUUUGUGGUUCCACCCACAAGGGCAAAGUCUAGGGCAAGUCUAGGGCAAUUACUAUUCAUUGUACUUUAUUUCCUAUUUUUUUAUACUUUAAAUCAUUAAUUUUGAUAAUCUUUUUAAUUAAAUUUUCGGAUAAGAUUUUCGGAUGUGAAUCUCGGUUGCCACGUGUCUUAUUCCAGAUAAAAUUUUCGGAUAUUCAUUAAUAAAAAUAUGAGUAGAGAGUAAAAAAUAUUGGAAGGAGAUGAGUUUGUAUGGAGAUUUGGUGUGGAAAAUGAAUUAUGUGAGUGGAGAGUAGAAAAUAUUGUAUGGAGAAGAAAUUGUAUGAAGAUUUGGUGUUGAAAGUAAAUAAAAUGGUUAGGUAUUUAUAGGGAAAAAAUACAUACAUUUUUGGUAUUUUUUUUAAAAAAAUUUCAGAAUUUUUUCGAAUUUUUUUGGAUUUUUUUAAAUUUUUUUGGCCAAAAAAAAUUUGAUUUUAGUGUGCUGACGUCAUCGCUGACGUCAGCUCAACUCGGGCUUGAGCCCAGUCUGAUUUCGCCCUUGGGCCUGCCCGGGCUCGUGGGACCCGCAGCUUGCCCGGGCUGGAUUGCUUGCGCUGGAGCUGGACUCGGGCUCCUUUUUGCCUUUUGCCUGGGCCAGCCUCUACCGCUGGACUUGCUCUAAGGUGGUAAAGUGAGAGUUGACCAAUGUUUCAAGGUGCACUAUAACAAUUAAGCCUUAACAUGAUUAUAUUAUUAGUUAGUGCAUCCCUUCACUCCUCAAGAUUAUAUUAUUAUAUUAUCUAUUCCAAUUUUUUUUCCUUCUUCUUAUCUCGUCUCAUCCCAUCUCAUCUCCUCUCCUCAUCUAAUCUAAGCAUCUCCUACUAGUUCCAGAAUUGUGAAUCCCUAAAUUAAUUUUUCUGUUGGUAGAUUGGGGAGAUUCUAAAAUCAAAAGUGUGGGCUUUUGUUCAAUGCAAAAUUGGUCCUUGUAGAAAUCAAUUUAAGAUAUUUUUUCAUGAUUUGAUAUCAAAUGAAAAAGAAAAAGUGAUUUUUGUUUGUUUGUAUAUAUAUAUAUAUAUAUACAAGCCUAAUAUUUACUUUUGCCCUGGGCCUUGAAAAAUUCAGGACUGACCCUGCAUAUAAUGAAGAAAUAAUAUGUGAAGACCAAUUAUCACCAAAAUAAAACAUUUCCGUAUUUCCCUGCUGAUUAAUGACACAAUAUAUUUUCAAGUACAGGUGCUUACAUGACCUGGCAUGUACGUUUCCAUACUCCCUAACCAAGGUGAUUAGUUUAAGUGACUUGGUAUGUAUGUUCUCUCUCUCUCUCUCUCUCUCUCUCUCUCUCUCUCUCUCCUUCUUUCCUGAACCAAAUCCACAGCCUGCAACCCAAUACAAGUAAAUCCCAAAUGCUAAAACCAACACCACAACCACACAACCGAUUGUGAUGCCACAGAUUGCUCAAUUAGACAAAUAAGACGAAGAAGAACUCAGCUGAAGCACGGGCAAAUUGUUGUUGAGGUAGACGCCGAUGUGGUUUCCAUCUGGGUCGUUGAACUAUGAGUUUUUCCCAGUAUAGAACUCGACGACAAGCAACCGAGCAAUGAAGGGGAUGAUGGCGUUGGUGAAGAGGCUGAAGUAUUGGUUGGCAAGGGCGUUGCGGGGGAGGUGGAGUUGAAGAGGACGAAUGAGAGGCUGAAACAUGGGCUUGAAGCGAUCUCGAGGAAGGGGGGAGAUGGGGGAGACAGAGAAGACACAGGAGCUGGAGAAGGAGGUGAGGGAGGUGGAAUUGGAGAUGGGUUUCAUGGUGAGCUUUGUUGGGUAGAAGACGUGGCCAUCCCUAAUAUAGGGAGGGCCGCGAAUUUGGUUCAGGUAGGGAGGAGAGAGAUGGAAAAAGAGAGAGAAAAGGGGAAGCGAUGGGCGGUUGAAAUGGAAGUGGGGGGGAAAGGGGUGGGUCGUGAGGUUCAGAUAGGGAGGAGAGAGAUGGAAAAAGAGAGAGAACAGGGGAAGUGAUGGGCAAUUGGAAUGGGAGUUGGGUGGAAAGGGGUGGGUCAUGAGGUUCAGAUAGAGGACAGAGUGUUAAUUUUUUUUCCUUCAGUUUUUUAAAUUAUUUUAAUUGUUAAUUAAUUAUUUUAUUUUUAUUAGCUGAUGUGGCACAAUAUGUAUGAGUUUAAAUGGGUCUUUGAUUGCCACAUUUUGACCCAAAAAAAAACUUUGAUUAACACGUUAUCUUUUAAUGGAUAACUUAAUAAUCAAACUAACGGAAAUAUGAAAGUGGUAGAAAAAUAAAAUUUUAGAUACGAAGUUGAGAUGAAAAAACCUUUAUGUACUAAAGUCAUAAUUUCGGGAAACUUUCGAGUAGUAAAGUGAAAUUAAUCCCUUUAAAUAUGAAUAUUUUAAUAGUACAGCCUGUGGUAUACUGCACAAAAUGGUUUUCUUUUUUGUAAUUAAGUAAUAUCAUUAUUAUUUCUUUAGUGAAUAAUUAGUAUUAACAUAUUUUACCAAUUUCAUAAAUUACUUAAUAAAUAGUAAUUAAUUAUUUUAAAUUAUUUUUUGGACUUUAUUUUUUAUUUUUUAUUUAUACAAAAUUAGUUUGUUUAGUUUAAUAUUUUGCAAUGAAUUAAUAUCUUAGUCUUAUUUAAUUAAUAUUAAUUAAUAUUUAUGUUUAAUCGCUUGUAUUGAUGUUUUCUUGACUACUUUAGUUUGUGGGUGUUCUUCAUUUUGAAGCAUUUCCUUGGGUUUGUAGUAUGAAUUUCAGGGUUCAGUGUAACAUUUGUGACUAGUAUUCAAAUUUAUACUCACAAUAAAUGCCAAAGAUUGAUAUAAUUUAUAGCAUAAUAUGUUAGCUCCCUUUUCUUACUCUUCUUGACAUCUCCUUUUGUAUGCUAGAUGUUUUGCAUGUGAGACUCAAAGCGCUUCUCUUCUAAAUACAUCUGAAGAAAAAUUUAUCAUAUGUUGUAAAUGUGGAGUCCCCAAAAUGCCCCCAUGUGGAAUCCCCAAAUUGCCCCCCUUAAAUGCCUAUAAAUAGGGCUUCUCCAUUUGUAACAAAACAUAUAGAAACUAAACAAGAAUCAGAUCAUGAAUUAGAAAAUCAGUCUCUCCUCUCUAUUCCAAUUCUCUCCAUUUUCUCUCUACAUUUAUAACACGUUAUCAGCACGAGUCUUUAACCGGCUGAAAUCUCUGAUUUCUUGAUCCCAGAAAUUGAUCAAGACACCCAGUUCGAAACCAAGCCCAGAUUGCCCACCCACUGCUCUCCUUCUCUCUCUGUCUCUCUCUUUCCCAGAGUCUCUCACAUCAGAUAGAUCAAACGAUCUCUGUGCUUGGUUUAGUCCUGUAAUUAAAGAGAUGAGUAAAGAGGCAAGGCAAGCAGAAACACUCUUCCUCCUUUACUUUGUAACCCAACAAACAAACACAGAGAGCACAACCAAAAAAAAAAAAAGGUAUCAAACCAAGACACAGGCCGUCUCCCAUUCCAGUUGCAGACCUCCAAACCCACUGCACGUCCACAACAAAAAGCCCAGCUAGUGGUGGACGGCCUAGAUUCCGAUUUCGAUCCGCCCCGACUUCACUCAUGAGCUCCGGCGCGUCCGAUUCCUCUGGGGGCCCCUGCGCUUCGACGUCGCUCGCCGACAAGGACAAGCAGAAGGAGAAGGCCCGCGUCAGCCGUACCUCUCUCAUACUCUGGCACGCCCACCACAACGACGUCGCCGCCUCACCUUCCUCCAACUAGCGCCACACCAAGUCCAACAAUGACAGAGGAGCUCUUGUCGUCGUCCAAGCCAAGGAACUGACCUCCAGCACGCCGCCUCACCUUCCUCCACCUAGCGCCACACCAAGAACUCCAAAGGCCCUACAUCAGAUUUCCCAACAUAACCCAGCACAGAGAUACAAAGCAAACCUCUGGUCAUGGCGUCUUUGUGGAGGACGCUGAUGGCCCCACCGGAGGCGUAGAUGGCCCUGAGGCCCCUAUUGAUGUCGGCCACACCCACCGGAAUCUGCACAUACCCCUUUGUGAUUUUCAACUUGUCUUGCUUGACCGAGAAGAGACAAUAACAGAUUUACCACUUGACAAUGGGGUUUGAGUUCUUUUGAGGGGCUGUGCUAAGCUCAUGUUAUUCUCAUCUUGCUAAUAAUAUUUUCUUCUGAGAAAAUGAAAGUUGAAGAAGCAAAAGAAGAUGAGCAGCGAGCCCAAAACCAGUAGCACAACUGGAGGAGCAGGAGGAAGGGGAUUUAGGGCGAGAAUGGAGCACUACAUGUACAGCGGUGAGAAGAAGCACGUAUUUGCUGGCAUCGUUCUUGUCAGAGCCGUCUUUGCCGUUCCUUGGUACCUCAUGACUCGAGGGGCAGAGCAUCAAUCCCAUCAAGAUUACUUAGAGAAAGCUGAUAAGGCAAGGAGCCAAAGACUUUCUUCAGGGGCUUCUUCUGCUCCAAGGACAAGGUGCAGCAGACCAAAAACAGCCAACUUCAAUACCUGAGAUUGGAUCUACUCCUCAAGACCGUCUUCCAUGGCUUCUCCGCAUCUCUCAUCCCUGACUUUUCCAAAGGAGAUGAUCACGCAGCAAUGAUGAAAAGCAAACCCACCGAUAAAGAAAAACUACACGCUCCACAGGAAGGAAUGAUGACGGCCACAAUGAUAAAAUUCCCACCGAUAAAGAAAAGCAAACCCACCGAACCAAAGAAAGAAUAAUUAAAUAAAUUAAAAUAAAAUUAAAAAAAAAAGGGAUCACUCAGCAAGGGCAUAAGUGAAAGAAUAAGCGAUAAGUUUUCUGCUCCCUUAUCUUCCCUAUUAUUUCCUAUUAUAUUUAUCUGCUUUUCUUUUACUAACCAUUAACAGAAAUGGACCCUCGGUAAUACUAAACAUAUUAUCAGUGAGAGACCGUUACUAAUACUAACAAUUUAAUUUAUGAAUUAUUUUUACUGCACAUUUACAUUUAUUUAAAAGGGUGGUGCGGGUUUAUCGUCCACGCCUUUACUUUUAUUUAAAUGUAUGGUGCAGAAUUAGUGCCCAUACAAGCACGUUUAAUUUACUGCAAAUUUACUUUACCGCACAUUUAUUUUAUUUACUGUAUGGUGUAGGAUUAUUACCCAUACGACAGUAUUUAUUUAAAAGGGUGGUGCGAGUUUAUCGUCCACGCCUUUACUUUUAUUUAAAAGUAUGGAGCAGAAUUAGUGCCCAUACAGGCACGUUUAAUUUAUGAAUUUAAAUUACUGCACAUUUACAUUUAUUUAAAAGGGUGGUGCGGGUUUAUCGUCCACGCCUUUACUUUUAUUUAAAUGUAUGGUGCUGGUUUAACGUCCAUACCAGUAAUUUAAUUACCAG
rnacentral:lncRNA from 1 species